UUUUCAGAGGUUUUUCAUGAUGCAUCGGUUUCUAACCCAUUAAUUUCAGUGGAUGAUUGAUUUACUGGUUUUUUUAGCAGGGUGAGUACCCUAGAUACUAGGGCAUAUUUCUCUUCUUGAGUUCAGUAGUCCGAACCUUGGCAUUUUGAGUAUACGGCUUUGAACCCAUUUACUUCCUAUUCACUUUUGAGUUGGUCUUCUCUAUUUGUUCCUUCUAGGCCCUAAGCCUUGUAGCCCUAAGUUAUUCUUCUUCCCUUAGGCCCUGAGCUUGGUAGCCUUGAGCUAUUAUUUCUCUCUAUACCCUGAGCCACGUAGCCCUGAGCUAUCUUUCUUUUUUUAGGCCUUGAGCUUGGUAGCCUCGAGCUAUCCGUUCCUUCUAAGCCUUAAGCCUGAUAGCCCUGAGCUAUUGUUUCCUAAAGACCAGGAGCCCUUCUAGGCCUGAGCUGAGCCUUCAUCAUUUGGUCGCCUAUAAGUGGUUUGACCUAGAGUUUGCAUAUUACACUCUCCUUCUAGCUGAUCAAUCAUAGAGCCUAGAGCUCAUAACCCUGAGUUGUUCACAUAGCCCUGAGCUAUUCAUCGUAACCCUGAGUUACUCAUUGCAUCAUGACCUAGAGUUGUUCAUACCAUAAAUGGCCCUGAGUUAUUCAAUUGUGACCCGAAGUUACUCAUUUCAUCCAUGACCUAGAGUCAUUCGUGGCAUCCCAAGCCCUGAGCAUAUGACCCGAAGUCGUUCAUAUCAUUCACAUAUCUGAGAUGUUUCGUUUUCAUCAUUCUAGCCACUUACAAGUGGCCUUGACCCAACACCAUGAGUCGAAAAGCAUCCUGAUCAGCUAUCCAUUUAGAGCCCUGAGCUCAUAACCCUGAGUCAUUAUUCUUAUUUAUGACCCAAAGUCAUCCAUAACAUUUAGAGCCCUGAGCUCACGACCCUGAGUCAUUAUUCUUAUUUAUGACCCAGAGUCAUCCAUAGCCUUUAGAGCCCUAAGCUCACGACCCUAAGUCAUUAUUCUUAUUUAUGAUUUAGAGUCAUCCAUAGCAUUUAGAGCCCCGAGAUCACGAGCCCGAGUCAUUAUUUUAUUUUUGACCUAGAGUCAUUCUUAGCAUUUAGAGCCCUGAGCUCGCAACCCUGAGUUGUUCUUCUCAUUCGCGACCCAGAGUCAUUCUAUCCAUUUAGAGCUUUGAUCUCACAACCCUGAGUUGUUAUUCUUAUUAACCCGGAGUCAUUCUUAACAUUUAAAGCCCUGAGCUUCCAACCUAGAGUCAUUCAUAACACUUAGAGCCCUGAGCUCCCGACCUAGAGUCAUCUAUAGCAUUUAAAGCCCUGACCUUCUGACCCAAAGUCAUUCAUAGCACUUAGAGCCCAGAAUUCCUAACCCAAAGUCAUUUAUCACAUCCAUGACCUUGAGUCAUAAUUGUCACCCUUUCCAUCUUUGUGUUACUUGUCACAUACAUUUCUCCCUUCAUUUUCAUUCCCCCGACAUAGAGUUGUCCCAUUCUUAUCGUUGCAACCCCGUGUUCCUAGCUUAUCCUAAUCACGUGCUAGGACAAAAUCUCUAGUCCUUCUUUAGUUCAUCAGUAUGGUUCACUUCGUUCCAUUCAUUAUUCGUAUUUCUACUCACGUUCCCUAUACUCAUGAUCUUUACCGAAGAGGGGCAUAUUUGUAGACCCUCCAUUUUGCCCUCCUAGCACAUGUCCUAUUAGCUUUUUGUUCAGUACUUUACAACAAUUCCCUGAUGGCCCAUUACUACUCAUGUAGCUUAUCUUUUCUGAGCCACCUUAGAGAUUUUGGUUGAGGGGUUUAUCCGACUCCUCAUUAUGACAUCGGUUGUCCUUCGAGUUUAUAUUAGGCUUCACUUAGGUCUACUUUAGGUUAGACUCAAUUAGGUACCGCCUUAGGCCCAUUUAGGUACACUUGGCCCAUUAGGCAUUCUUAGUGUGACUUGUAUGGUUGCAUGUCUUGCAUGGCUCAUUUAUCUUAUUUGUCUAUUUAUUUGUUUGUUUGUUUGUUUUUUAAUAUUAUCAAUCACCUAUUUUUAUUUACUAUUACUUAUUUAUUUGUUUAUUAUCUUGCUAUUUAUUCAUUUAUUUAUUAUUAUUAUCUUAUCAUUCUUUGAGAAAAUCUUUAUUCAUUUAUCUUAUUUAAUAAUUUGAUGCUUUUAUAGGGAAAUCUAUCAAUGGAGAUCGAGAAGUCUUUGGAAAAUGUGGGACUCUUUAGGUGAUAUGCAUGGAUUGAUUUUUGGAAAUUCAAAGAAGGAUUUUUUUUUUUUUUUUUUUGGAUAAGACAUAGAAUUCAGAGAGAGGAGAAGUCCUCAGGUGGGACGGCUGCCAACUGUUAUAAAAAGCAUAGGCUGGUGGUUUUGAAGGGGGAGGAUUCUAAGAUUGUCUUUGUAGGGAGAGGAAGGAAGCAUGGCAAAGUAGAGUAAGAGAUCUGAGACGAUAUACCAGUAGGGAUUUUCUUACCAGGGAGGAGCGUUUCCAGGUACAUUUUCUGUAGACCCUUCCUUCAUUCCCGUUAUCUUCUUGUUAUGUAUUGAUCUUCGCGAGAUUUUGAGUUUUGUUUGGAUGCUUGGGUGUAGAAUGACAGAGGUUAUAUGUUUGUUUGCAUUGGUACUUGAUUGCUUCUAUAGAUGUUGUUGAUUUCUUCCUUUGGAGUUCUCUAAUUUUGGUUUAGGGCUGAAAGACUCUAUUUUUUUAUUUAUUGUGCAUUACAUGAGAACUGUGGCUGUAUUUGUUUCUUGGAAUCUGCUCGUACUCCCCUCACCAACCUUAGCCCAUGGAAUAAAAUAUGAAAUGUGACUUCCAUUGGUUCUUCCUUUUUUUGUUUAUUUUUUUCGUGCUCCGUUUGUAGUCUUCUUUUAUUUUAUGUGGAUAUUUCGAGUAUUUCCAGCCAUGUCUACGUCACUGAUCAAUGGCGCUAGAGAAUGGCUUCUUGAUGCUGUCAAAACUCGAUAUCCAAAUUUGGAAGAAGAAAGUAGGUUCAGGGGUUUCUCAUACAACUUCUAUUCCAGGAGGAAGAUUGUUUGGCACCGGUCGAAGUAUCUUUUAUUAGAGAACAAAGGAAGCAGAACAAGGGUGGAAGAAUAGGGGAGAGGUAAAGCAUGGAUAGUUUUGCCAAUUUUUUUGGAGAAGUUUUGCCAACAGUGAGAUUGAUCGGUUUUGGUGUCCAUGAAGGCAUCAGCAUGAGUUUUGGUGCAUUCUGGAAUGCAACAUGGGAAUUUGAUCUGUCACAAGUUUUCUAGAAAUUGUAGAGCUCAAAUUAAAGGCCGCCACGGUGAACAAGUUCGUUAUGAUGUUUAAUUUGGUACUCAUUUUCCUUGAAUUCAGAGUGGCAAGAUAGAAGAAAACAUAUCACUUGGUAAGGGAAUGGAUAAAGAAAGCUGUGGAAGGGUGAUUACUACUCAAAAAGUGCUAUUUGAUAGCUUAUAAUUAAUCCUUCUAAACACUCUUGAGUAGUAAUUAUUACCUUUUAACUCAAUUGACAUGUUAAGGACCCUUGAAAGCAAUUUUAAUCACUUUGUGUAAGUUUUGGUGUUUUUGUUAGUAAUUGGAUCACCAAAGCAAUUCAAGAUUGAGGAGAGUUAUGAGGAAUCUUGGGCAAAGCUUGGAAGUCAUUUGCCAAGAGUAAAUCCGGAUUGCAAGGAGAAAAAGUAAAGAGAAUCUGCCAUGAAGCAUAUUCUUGAUGACAGUCGUAGCAGCCACUUUUGGAGCACUUUCUGAAGUCCAAUUGAUGCAUGCUAUAUACCAUUUCAAAGCUCAGGAAGUCAACAAUAUAAUGCUUCAAAUGGUGCACAAUUCGGAGUUGAAACGAAUAAGUUGCAGCCAUUGCAAGCCAAUCACUCCAAGCUGAAGAAAGCAUUUUCCAAAGUGUUGCGAAAUCACCCUUUUGCUGCGAAGUGAUUCCGCAGCCUUUUUGUACAGUAGGGUGUAUUUCCUUCUGAAGUUGCCCGAUAUAUGCCGCGAGAGGGAAGCUAGGAACCUCAAGGUGGAAGCCAUCUUCGCAGCCCUGCGAAGAUAGCAUGUUGUUGCGAAAUGAUUUCGCAGCCCUUCUUGAGUGUCUGCGAAAUCUCGCAGACACCAUUUUCUCUUGCGAAAUGGUUCCUGGAGCAUCCCGAUAUUUGCUACCGACAUUGGGAGAUAUUUUACAUCAGAUUUUUGUUAUCUAAAUCCCAAAAUACUCCUUGUAAGCCACCAAUUACAAGAUUCCUUAGCUUUUAAGUUAGUAAAAAGAGAAAAUAUCUAUGUAAUAAUUAGUUUUAUAUUAUGUUCAUAUAAGUACCUCUCGGGAGCCUGUUCUCAGGGAGGAGACCCUUUGUAAAGUUUUGGAAAAGCAAGUAAAGUUCAGGCCCUUUGUUUUGCCUUACCUUCUCACUUUGUAUUAUUUAUUUCUUACUAAGUUAUGCACUCUCUGAGGAAUUUUCCCCAGAGAAUGAGUAACUAAACCUUUAGUUCCUUGGAGCUAAGGUUGCCGGGGAAGGUUCCAAGUGCAAGAAUGCAAAGCUUUGUGGUUUCAGCCAUGAAUGAAGAGGAAAUGAAAUCCUUUAGUGAUUUCUAUGUUUUUAGUUAACUUAAAACACCUUAGAGUCACCUGGGCCAACACUUGGUAAGGCAAGUGAUCUCCAACCAUGAAGAUGCACUAGUUUACCCCUUGCGAGCCUCUGGGAGGUGUCUUGAAGGUAGGAUUUUCUAGAAUUGCCAACACUUGGUAAGCUUUUGGACUCCAAAGAGACAUCCAUUAGUUAUCUCUUGCGAGCUUUUGAAGGGAAGCCAAGGUUUAAGAUCAUCUUGAAUGGUAAGUGCUAGUGAGAGGCUCGAACCGUUGCAAGUUGCAUCAGUGAGAGAAUUAAAGCUGAAAUCUAAUUAAAGGAUGUACAUGUACAAUACCGGUUAGAGAAUUGACUAUAUGUUGAUUCUCUCACGCGAGGAAAUGAACCAACUGACCUGAGCUAUGUCUUUUGCAUGAGGAAUCUCCCCAGUGAACCUGACUCUCCAAGGAAUGUUUUUCUUCCUAAGUAAUUCCCAUUACUUGUUUUGUAGUUAGUUUAAAUCUAAAUCUUUACCAAUCAAAGUUUUUGUUUUAUUUCUUGAGCUAACCUUGAAAUGAAAAAGUACCCAUUCACUUUGAAUUGGUAUCAUUUGUAACUUGGAAACCCUUCCCAGUGAACGAUCCUAGAGCCGAUAUACUAUAGUAGCUUUUUCUUUGCUACCCUAGUAUAUGGUGUUAUAGGUUAUAAAUUUUGUUGAUUACUCCCUCAUCCAAGGAGCACCAACUGGACAUGAAUCAGCUGGCACACCGACUGGGCACGAAUCAAAGGGUCCUUAAUACAUGUUCCUCAAAAAUGACCUGAAGGUUUUCUCAUCCAGUGACCAGAUAGUUAUGGAUGGUCUGAUUCUGAGUUUAGAUUGUUGCUCCUACUGAUCUUAAAAAAGUAUAUCGACUGCAAAACAUAGUCGGCAUGGUCUGCGAUCUUGAAGAACCUCCAAGUAAGCAAAAUGACAGGGGGAUCUACUGGGUCUGAUAGUUGAUGAUAGUUUACAGGGUCUGCCGCAAUUUCCAAAGGCCAAGUUGUCGUUUGUUUUCUUAUUAAUUCAGGGUUGUUGUUCAUCUUUCAUUGAUCCAGGCUCAUGGAAUCCUACAGCAUAUGUUGGUCUUGAUUUUCAGCAAAGACUAUCAUAGUCCUCUUCAAUGCCAUGCCUGCCAUGGCAUCUCAUACUCAUUGGAUAAACAAAUAUAUCAUACUGAGAUCAGAGUGACAAGAGUUAAGGUCUAUGAUAUGGAUAUAAGACAUCAAAUCCUUAUGAUGAUCCUUUACUUGCUACCUUGUCAUUGGAAUUUGGUAAUGCAGGAAAGAUUGGAGUGGCUAGAAUACUCCCUUCUUCAAAGGCCCUCGCAUUUGUUCUUAAUGGCCUCGGUGCCAUUUGUCUCAAGGGCUUAAAGGAAGUGAAAGAAACUUUAGUAUCGUGAUCCUUUGUGAACAAUGAAUCAGAUUUUUGCUCCAUUGGUUAAUGUUGCGGAAAAGCUUCUGCUGUAUUUUCAUUAAGGAGUACUGGUGUUGGCAUAACUAUCGAAAUUGUCGAUAGAAUUGCUUCAACAUGGGAUGAAAAUGUGGGGAGCUUUGGAUAGGAAAGAAAUAGGAAAUUACAAAGGUUGUCUUAUGGAAACAAUGUCGUCAUGGUUGAUUUGCAUUAGUUUAUUACCACUAGUUUUAAAACAUCGAAAUCCUGUGUUUGGUGGGCCACCCAUCCUUUUUGUUUACUUUUGUUAAUUCACUUGCUUCUGGACUCAUUAUCAGUGGUGAUGAAGAUUGUUUUACCAAGACCUGGAAAGAUGUAGUUCGUGUUAAAGCAUAGAGCAUCCUGGUUGUCUUUGGGAUGUUCAAUUCUGCAGAAUGUUAUACAGCAUGCAGCAAAAAUCCCAUGAGCCCAAUUCAGAUUCAAUAGCAUCUUUUGAUAUUAGAUGCCCUCCCACAAUCAGCUCGUUCAAUGACCCAAUUCGCAACAGGUGUCAUAGCUCUGAAAGUUCAUAGUCGAUUUCAGAAAGCAUUAAAGGGCAAUGAUGCGUUUGGUUAGGUAUUUUCUACUAUCCAUGCCUAUGGAAGAAGUUUAUCUCUUAAAAUGGUUACUACAAUAUCUCGCCAGAAUAAGGAGUUGCCAUGGAAAUUUUGUAUUUCAUCUAUGAUACCAAAGCAAAUAUUUCAGAUGGGUCCAGCUGGGAAUAAAAAAUUAAUGGCAAUCUCUAAUGAUAAUCGCGGACAAUCGCAGACAAUCACAGACUUGUUCAUGAAAAAUCACAUACAUAUAUUGAUUCUUAUGACUCCCAAAGUUUAUGGAGUUGAGCCAAGAAAGGAAGGUGCCAACGAAUCAAGGCGGAGCAUAAUUGGGUCCCUAACUCUGAUGUUGCUACUAGGAAUGAUACUUGGAUUCAAUGCAUUACAAAUUAUGGAACUCUUCCUUGUCUUUCGAACUUGUUGUCACAAAAUUACAAGAGAAACAUCAAGAAGGAAGCUUACUAGAACAUAAUCUCAUGGGAAUUAUAGUUGAUAUUCUUCAACAAAAGCCUAAUAAAAGCCACUCUUCUCAUCUCUGUAAGUGAGAAAACUACAGAUUUUUGAUGUCCAAAGUUGUCAACUGAUCGGGAAAGUUCCAGAAGAAGUCUUUAAGUUAACCUAUUUGACUUGCUUAAACACGGCGCAAAGCAGUUUAGAGGAUGUAAUUAAAAUUUUUAUACUCCAGGUUGCAGUAGCGGUUCUGAUAACACUCAAACUCGAAGCAUCAAGGGAUGUGUGAUUACUACCCAAAAAGUGCUAUUUUGCGCUUUUAAUUCAUUAUGUUUUAAGCACUUUUGUGUAGUAGUUCUCCAUUUUUAUUCCAAUUGGCAUGUUAAGGACCUAGCAAUGACUUCUAAUCAUAUUUGUGGCUAGUUUUAGUGUUUUGACAGCUUUUUGGAUCAUUAAGACAAUCCAAGUAAAGGAGAGAAGCAAAGAGGAAAAACAAGCAAAGUGAAGAAAACAGAGGACAACAGCUGCAGUCUUCCUUCGCACUUUUGGAGCACUUCCCGAAGUUCAUUUUCUACAUGCUAUAUACCAUUUCAAAGAUCAGGAAGUCAAGAAUCCAACGCUUUAAACCGUGUAUGAUUUGGAGCUGAAAUGAGGAAGAUAUGGCCUUCGGAAGACAACUGCUCUAGGCUUGUGCGAAAUUCGCACAACACCUUGAAAUUCGCACAACACCUUCAGGUUGUGCGAAAUUCGCACAACACCUUGAAAAUUCGCACAGCAGCCCAUGCGUGGUGCGAAAUCUCCUCUGUUUUUCCGACUCCACACGAGAUCUUUUCUUUUAGAUAUUUUUGUAUAAAUUUCCAUUCUUCUCCUUGUAAUCCACCAACCAUAAGAUUUCUUAGCUAGGAAGGUUGGAAAAACUUCUCUAUAUAUAUUCCCUUGCAUCCGUUGUAAUAAAGAGAAAAAUAUAGAUAUAGAAGUAUGUAAAAUAGAUCAAUAUAUAGAAUAUACAGAGCCUUGCUCUAUUUUUCCUUCUCUUUCAUUUUCAUUUUCUUGCUAGCCAAACAUCCUCUGAGGAUGUUUUCCCAGAGGAUGAGAGGCUAAACCUUUGGUUUCUUGGAGUGAAGGAAGCUAGGUGAAAAGUCCAGAUGCUAAAGUGGAAAACUCUCGUGCGUUACAUACAGGUAGUUGGAGUUCAUAAAUGGCUUUUAAAUCUAAAGUUUUGCUUUAAAUCCCUUAGAAUCACUUUGAAUGGCCAAUACAUGGUAAGCUUCAGGUCUCUGUAGAUGCUUAUUGCUAGAUCCAUAUCAGUCCAUUAGUUAUCAUGUACGAGCCAUUGGAAAGUGAUUCAAGGUGAAGACCCAUAGUGUCUAAAGCCAUUAAUGGAACUUGACUACCAUUUCUAUUGACUUUUUAUGGAUUAAAUCUUCAUUGUUAAACCUACAUCGGUUUGGGAAAUAACUAUAGGUUAAAUCCCCAAUGCGAGGAGAGAAAUCAGGAAUUUCCCACUUUACAGUUGGCACCUGAUCCUAGUAACCUGAAAUCCUAAGAAACACCUUUCUUUCUAAUUUCUUUCUAGUUAAUUUUAGUUACUUUAUGUUAGGUUAGCUUAAUACCAUUCGUUUUCAUUCAAAGAUUAUGUUUUCUUUUAAAGCUAACCUUGAAACGAAAAGGCACCAAUUUAGUUUUGAAUUAAUAUCACUGGUAGAGUGAAAACCCAUCCCAGAGUUCGACCCUAGAGCCACUAUACUAUAGUAGCUUUGCUACGCUAGUAUGAGGUCAUAGGUUUUAUAAAUGUUUUUGAUUAAAAGACCCGACUGGAUCAAACGAAUCAAUGUGACAGAAUUGCUAGUAAUGGAGAGAUCUUGGAAGGCAUUAGAGAUAUAUUGAAAAGAUCAAUUUCUGCCACCUUGAUUAAAUAUCCAAACAGUGAAUGGCUAAAUGUGUUUUAAGAAAAUAUUAAGAAGAAAUUCGAUAUAGUAAUAAGUUUAUUCUCUUAUUCAGACCAAGGGCUUGCUCAUAUGAUACAACCAACCAAAUCUCACUAGUUUUCAGAUGUCAUUGAGAGUGGAGUUCAAGUCAAAGUGUUGGAGUGCAAUCAAAUCUCUCGUAGGCCACUUUGCAUUCUCUUCUUCACUCAGAUAAAAUUUCCUAUUGGCACAAUCGGUGCACCUGGUUGGGUGACUUUCUCGCUAUAGAAAUUAGUGAGGCAUUCAGAGUCUUUAUACUUUUGUACAUGAGUUAUAUGAUGGGUAGUUGGUGAUAAAUUUUUGUUUUUUUUUUUAAAAAGUCUUCUACCCACUAUUUUCUAAACUGGAGGUAGUGUUCCAAUGGCAUCAGAUUGGGUUUUCCUAACUUUAUAGGAUUCAAUAACCCAUGUAGAGUCACAACUUUUUAAGCAAUCUGCAGGGGUAAACUGAUCACUGAAAUCAGGCACAACAAAGGACUCUAUUUCCAUUCUCAGGAAAGCUUUGCCAGUCAUAGCGAAACUGAAUGUUCUUAGAUAUGAUACCAUCCACGUCACUAAAAUUGAGGCAAACAUCAAAUGUGACACUUUCAUUCCUGUUCUUAGCACUUCAAUAUUUCAUCCAUCUAGAAAAGAUGAGACUCUAUAGAAAGAGAUGAUGAUUGCAAUAACCCUAAAGGUGAUGAUGAUGGUUCCAAGUGUAAAGAAGAGAGCAUGUGAAGAACCUGUAGAUUGCCGAAUGUUUCCAAGAUUGCUCAUAGAUAUAUUUCAAAUUUUCAAGAAUUCCUUCAACACUGCCAAGCCUGCCAAGAAGUAGAAGGAAUUGGAGCAACUUCAGACUCAUGCGCAGAAUGAACACCUGCAAUUUAAUCAAACUAAGAUGACUCCCCAAAACUUGCAAAAUUUACACUCUCAAUUGCAGUAAGAACAAAAAGUUCUACUGUUAGAUCUGAAAUUGGACCAUAAAGAUUGAAACAGGUGGUGGUGUCUAAGCUUGAUUUAGAGAAUGAAGCAGAGUGGUCCACCAGACACCUUUUCGAUAACCAGUAGAUUUCAAAGCUCCAAACAGGAGUCAAUUCUUAAAACCGCAUUAAUUGAGAUUGAUGUUCCUCUUAAGUCGAUAAAGGCAAAAGUAUCAUCUUCAGUUUUAUAUGGUGGAAAAGAAAAUAGAAAGACAAAAUAAAGCGUCAAUGUUUCAUAAUUACAUAUUAGAGAUUUCAGAAUAAAGUCUUUGCUAGAACUUGAAAUGGUUGAAGUCAUGACACUGUUGUUAUUAUUGGCAUCAACAAGUGAGAAGUUGGAGAUGAAAUAGCCAUUUGUAAAUUGGAAAACUGCAUCAAGUUUCAGUUUUGCACAUGCAAAUGGUUAAAGGAAGUAAGCCAAGUUACAACCACUGGUAGUAAGAUCUCUGAACGUGAGUCUUUUGAGCUACAACUUAAGACAUCUCGCAAAGCUAGCAAUGUCAAGAAAGUAGUCAAUUUCUAUCAUCAAGUUGGUUUAAAUGGUGAAACCAACAACGCUAAACGAAGAUGAGAGCCCUCUUCGAACGUAACAGUAUCCCGAAUCAGAAAUUGACACCCUUGCCUUAGCUACAUCUUUGAAUAAUGGAAAUGGGCCAUUAGUGAACUCCCUCAUACAGGCUACAGAUGAUUGGUUAGGAUAACUUAAGAGGUAAAGGAUGAAGCUCAUUGUGAAACCAAGGUUUGGUUAAUCUUGAUUUUGAUGAUAACAAAACAAGGUUUAGAACUAAUGAUUAUAUUUCAAGUGUGAUUAGGCAAGAUGAUUUCCAAAGUGGCAAUCACAAAGACAAAUCAAGCAAAGGAGAAAUCAUGAAGAAGAAGACCACCUCAAAGAGAAGUGUUUUUCAAGACCCAAGCUUCAUAAGAUCUCUUUGUAAGGUUGUUCGUGCACUAGGAUUUUCAUGCAUUACAUUUUUUACUUAUGCACCAAAAUCAUCCAAGAGUUAUUUUGUUUUAAAUAUCUUAAGAAUGGGAUGAUUUCAUGUUUUCAACUAAAACCUUGUGUUAAAUAUUUUUCAAACUUGUUUUAAAAGGUUUUAAGUUGAAAAAGGUUGGGCGUUGAGCUAAAAAAUGGCUCAACCAGUUCAACCGGUUGAGGAACCGAUCAACCGAUUGUGCUCGUCCGAUCAAGUACCGGUCGAGGGAGGCCAAAAAGUUUCAAAAGGUAAAUCUCGGAGUGUGUACAUCGCGACUCAUCUAAAAGCAAAUCUCAAAGUGCACAAAAAUAUUGCUCAUCUAGAUAACCCAAUCUGCAAGACAAUGGCAAAAACAUUCUAUCUCAUGAGCGUCCAACUAAAGGAUCCACCCAUGCUCCUCGGGUAAAACCUAAUGUGAUCCAUCUCUAUCUCAACAAAUCCAUGUAAGGAGGUCCUUAUACGGUCAAUCGUCGGAAGCCCCAAACGAAUACUCAAUCUAAAACCAAGCUGGUCGCUAUCUCAAUCUUAAGGGUACUCAAAGAAAAUGGGAAAUAUGCCCCAAUAUGAGAUAUGAUGUCAAAGUCAUGAGGUAAAAAACCAACAAUGAUCAUCCAUCUAUGUACCAUUGUCUGAACACAAUUUCAUCAAGGAGAGAAGAAUAUGCCCCAGUAUGGAUAUCUGAUGUCAAAGUCACGAGGUAAACAAACAAUAAUGAUCAUCUAUCUAUAUAUCGCUGCCCGAACACAAUCUCAUCAAGGUGAAGGGAAUAUGUCUCAAUAUGGACAUCUGAUGUAUAAUAAAGAAUCUGCUAGUAUCAAUCAAACAUCUUUAUAACCAUAAAUAAAGAUAACCAUACCACCCAACAACAACUAGGAACCUCAGAGAAAAAAGGGAGAAAUAUGCCCCAGUAUGGAUAUUUGAUGCACAAUUAGAAGGGUGAAUCCAAUAUCAUCAAUGACCUGUCUCUAAACUAAAAAAUCCAUCAAACAUCAAUAUGCUAAGCAAGAGAGAGAAACCAAAUGCUUCCAAAAGCAUCUUCCAUGAGAGAAAACAUAGUAACGACUAUACUUCAACCAAUCUGCAAAAGUCUAUCCAAGUGAAGACUGUUAAAGAUAAUGUUUAAUCUCAUGGCCUCAAGGUGGUCUUAAGACACAGAAUGUAAUGUAGGCCAGGGUGAAAAGGCAAAGAAACAAAAGAAAACUAGGCUCAAAUACCCAAUGAUCAAACCCAUACCCUCGUGUAUAGUGUACAACGCAUAGGAGACUCUCAUAAGCAUGUGAACUUAAGAGGAGUCAAUGGUAACAUCGAUGGUGAAACGAAAAAGGAAAAGAAGUGAUCACGCCAUCAAUGGAUCAUGUAAAUGAUGUGAAGAAAGGUGUCGAAUCAGGAAGGUGUAUAGGUGUUGGAAUGGGACGAAAAAGGGAAUAAAAAGUAGGAAAAAAACGAUGGGAAAUCAAAUGAAGGUAGUGAGAGAAUAAAAAAAAGGAAUGAUGAGCAACACAUAUCAAUACAACAAAGAUAAAUCAUAUCACCCAUAAUGGAGUAGUAGAGAAGACACUAAUUCGGAGACCUUAGUGAAAGGUUACUCAACUCUCAUACCUAUAAAGUACAACAACUUUGAUCCAAGAAACAAAAGGAUCUCACAAAACUCAAAACUCUCAUGAAAAACUCUCAUCCCUCCAAUUGCAUAACGAAAGUGACUUAAGGAUCGAAAAGUCCUUGUGGAAAACUCGCACAAGCCCUCAAUGAUAAACCCAAUAAACAACCUCAAAUAACAACACAUGCUCAAUAAAGUAGGAUAUCAAGUACAAACAUGUCAUUGCGCCAUUUUUUUUAAAUUUUUUUAUUUUCUUGUAAUGAAUGCGCAUACCCUAGUCAUCAGUAAAUCAUACUCCAAUGAGAAACUACAAGGAAUGAAUAAACUCUCUCAAAUCACUGAUGAGUACAUGAAACCCCCAUCCCAUGAGACAACCUUUCAAGCUAAAAUUUUCGAAUCAAUGUCAAAUGAUGGAAUGAAAGGAGUGGUGUGACUAUCCUCUAUGCAUCAAUAUGUGAAGAAUCAUCAUUCCAAGUGAAGGAAAUAUGAAAUAUAGCAACCAAUGAUAAAAACCAGGAUUGAGAUGAAAAUGUGAAAAUAAUGGAAUGUAAUAGACAGGGUGGUGAGGUGAUAAUAGCAAGGAUGAGGAAGAUAAGCCUAUAAGUCUAAAGCUCAUGAGACUUUCCUAGCAAAGUGUAACUAUACAUCAAAGUGCCUUAACCCGGGUAUAGAAAUGAUAAGUAGGGCUACAGAAAAGAAAAGGUUAUAGUAUACCACAUGAGGCUCAAUGGGCUAGCAACGGUCUAAUAUAUCAAUAAAGGUGAUAAGGUGUUAGGCUAAUCGAAAUGAUGACCACCCAUCUUGUGACCAUAAUCUCAAACGUAAUACUUCUUCAAUUGAUCCACAUUGGUAGGCUCUGAAAACUGGUUUCCAUCUAAGUCGAUCAACCAUGCGGCCCCUUCUGGAGUCAAAUCUCGAAUAACAUAAGGCCCACUCUAACUAGGUCUGAACUUACCUCUAGGGUCUCCAACCAAACCUCUGAGAAUCCUCAAAACCAAAUCCAGUUUCUGUAAUGGUCUAGGCUUGACCCGUUUCCUAAAGGCACGAGCCAUCUUUCUCUGAUAGGCUUGAACAUGAUCCGCUACUCUCAAUUUCCUCUCAUCUAAAAGGUUAAGUUAAUCAAAUCGAGCCUAGGCCCACUAUGUCUCAGAAAUAUCUUGCUCAAGAGCUACUCUCAAUGAACCCAUCUCCUUCUCGAUUGGCAAAACAACCUUCAUACCGUACACCAAAGAGUAAGGUGUAGCUCCUGUAGAGGUGCAAAAAGAAGCACGAUAUGCUCACAAUACAAAAAGGAGUUUCUCUGACUAAUCUUGAGAAGUCUCAACCAUCUUCCUCAAGAUUCUCUUAAUGUUCUUAUUUGUAGCCUCUAUUGCCCCAUUAGUUUGUGGCUUGUAUGCAAAUGAUCUGUGAUGUUGGAUGCCAUACCUCUGUAAGAAAGUGUCAACCUCAGCUUGGAAGUGUACCCCUCUAUUUGAAAUUAACUCAUGAGAAACCCCAUAGCGGCAAUUGAUGUGUGACUUCAUGAAACUUGCAACUCUAGUAGAUGUUAACCUCGCAUAUGAUGCGGUUUCCACCUACUUGGUGAAAUAAUCUAUGGCGACUAGGAUGGACUCAUGACCACUGGAAGAUUUUGGUGAAAUCUUCCUAAUAAUAUUAAUACCCCAUACUGAAAAUAGCCAUGGUGAGGUCAAAGCGUGCAACUCCGAUGGCGAUGCAUGAAUGAGAUCACCAUGAAUCUGAAACUUUGGGUAUUUCUGAACAAAUCGACAACAAUCUGUCUCCAUAGUCAACUAGAAAUAACCUAUCCUCAUAAUCAUAUGGACUAGCAUGUGUCCUCCCAUGUGUGUACUUCAAACUCCUGUGUGAACCUCUCUCAUCAUACGGUCUGUGGAAUCUCGAUCUAAACACAAUAGAAGCAUACCAUUAGCUGAUCGCUUAUAUCAGGUAUCUCCACAAAUCACAAAUCUAGUGGCUAACUGCCUUAGUCCUCUUCGAUCCUUGGCUGUGGCUAACUCAGGGUAUGUGUUAGAUCUGAGAAACUGAUAAAUGUCAUGAUACCAAGGUAGAUCAUCUUGGACCUCUGUUUCUCCAAUCAAACAACAGUAGGUAGGUGCAUAUCUCAACUCAAUCAGCAAUGGACAUAUGACCACAUCAAUUGGAAUGUCUACAAAGAAGCUAGGGUAGCUAAAGCGUCAGCAAACCGAUUCUACGCUCUAGGCAGAUGAACAUAUCUCAAGUCAUCAAACUUCCCAACCAGUAACUCCAAAUAAGCUUGAUACAACCUAAGCUUUACAUCCCUAGUCUUCCAAUCUCCAUGAAUCUGUCUAAGUACUAGAUUAGAGUCACCAAAUAUCUCCAUCUGUCUAAUGCCAAGCUCUAGUGCAGUCUUUAAACUAAUGAUACAAGCCUCAUAUUCAACAAUGUUGUUUAUGGCUAGAUGUCGAUCUAAAAAUGCUAAAUGAACGAACCUCGAAAUAAAAUAACCUUGAUGGAAUACCAAUAGAACACCUAUCCCAUACCUUGAUUGAUUGGCUGCACCAUCGAAGUACAUGCACCAUCUUAAUAAGCUAGUCAUAGCAACAAACUCUUCAUCUAGAAAAUCAUCAUCAGCUAGUCUAUCCUUAGAUGUCAGUAGUGAGGCUAAGUGAUCGAUGACAAUACUUCCCUUAAUAGACUUUUGAGAAACAUAUUGAAUAUCGAACUCUGUCAAAAGUACAAGCCAUCUCAUCAGUCUACCAGUCAACGCAGGUCUAUCAAAUAAGUCUUUCAAUGGAUCUAAGCGGGAUAUCAAGUGCACUGAAUACUCUAUCAUGUAAUGCCUCAAUCUCCUGAUAGCCCAAACUAGUGCUAAGCAAAGGCGCUCAAUCAUAACGUAUCUCAUCUCAUACUCCAGCAUCCUCUUACUUAGAUAGUAAAUAGCUUGCUCCUUUCCUGAGUCAUCAAGCUAGGCGAACAUACAUCCUAAGGCCAUGCCUGAAACUGAUAAAUAUAGAAGAAGCGGAUGUCCCGACAUGGGAGGCACUAAAACAGGAGGAGAAAGCAAAUACUCGUUAGCCCUCUCAAACGUAGCUGACAAUCAUUAUUCCAAACUGUAGGUUGGUUCUUCCUCAAAAGACGAAAAAUGGGCUCACAUAUGUUUGUCAAUCUGGCUAUGAAUCGAUUAAUGUACUGUAACCUGCUUAGAAAACCUUUGAUCUCUUUCUCAGUCCUCGACAUAGGGAUGUCAAGUAUGGCUCUGAUUUUAUCUGGGUCAACCUCUAUGCCUUGCUCACUGACCAUAUGCCCCAACAAUUUCCCAUAAGUCACUUUAAAGGUGUACUUCUUAGGAUUCAACCUCAAUCUGAAUUUCUGAAUCCUCUCAAAGAAUCUUUCUAGAGCUGCUAGGUGAUCUGCUCUGCCUUGGGAUUUCACAAUCAUAUCAUCCACAUAAACUUCAACAUCCCUAUGCAUCAUGUCAUGAAACAAAGUAGUGGCGACCCUUUGAUAAGUGGCUCCUGCAUUCUUCAACCCAAAUGGCAUAACCCUGUAACAGUAGGCACCCCACUUGGUAAUGAAGGUUGUCUUCUCCAUAUCCUCUAGAGCCAUCAAAAUCUGGUUAUAUCCUGAAAACCCAUCCAUGAAAGACAACAUCGAAUGGCUUACGGUGCUAUCGACCAACAAAUCAAUAUGUGGGAGGACAAAGUCAUUUUUAGGGCUGACUUUAUUAAGGUCUUUGAAGUCAACACAAGCUCUAACUUUGCCAUCCUCUUUGGGAAUAGGGACGACGUUAGCCAACUACUUUGGAUACUCAACCACUAAUAAAAUCCAACACUGAGCUACUUCUAAAUCUCGUUUUUCACCUACAGACUCCAGCAUGGGUAUAAACGCCUCAAUUUCUGCUUAACCGGUCUGACAUAUGGCAGGAUAGGCAAGUGGUGCUAGACUAUAGAGGGAUUGAGACCAGGCAUGUCCUUAUAAGACCAUGUAAAGACAUCCAAGUAUGACCUGUGUAGAUAAAUAAGUCUAUCCCUCUCAUCUGUAGAUAGGGGUGAACCAAUCUUCAGCUCUCUAGGCUAAUCCUUUGUGCCAAAAUCAACAAUCUCAACAUCCCGUGUAGCAGGUGAAACUUUCUCAUCUAUGGGAUCUGAGUCAUGAUCAAAAGAGUCUCUGUUUGAAUAGGAUUGUGCAAUCUCAUCAUCUAUAUCAAAUAUCUGUGGAGUGAGUGAAUGGGGUACAAAUAUAAAGAUACUAUCACAAGAGACGGGCGAAUACUUAAAAAUACUCAAAUCCAUAAAUGAAGCAAUAGAAACAUCGUCAAAGUGGGAGACAAAUCCCGAUAAAACAUCAGAGGAAAAAAGUGGGUCCACAAGGUUGGACGCUCUCUCAAUUGGGCUAACAGUGCCCUCAAACAAACUACUAUCAUCCUCUAAAAGCUAUGGAAUAGAAAUAGUUUGGGUCUCCUUAACAACCUCGGUGGUAGACACCCUAAACAUAUCAAGUGGUGAAAUAGGCUAAAGCUGAACGAUGCUGGUAAUUUGACUUAUGGUCAUCAUGUCCAUCUCAUCUUGGUACUCAUCAUGGGGAACAACUCCAUCAAUCAUCUCAAUGGGAUCAACAACCACUCCAUCAUCAAUGACCUCAUCUGGGAAGCAUAGAGACAACAAACUAGCUUGAUUUGGAGACGUAGGAGUAAUCGCCAUAGAAAUAGAAGUGCUAGGAACCCCAUCACUCAAUUGUAACUGGUAAAAUAGAUGCUGAAGCUCAAUUUCUCUAUCUGUAUGAACCACACUAUAAAUCUCCUUUAGACGAGGUUGAAUCUUUGAUCCUCUGAAAAAGUAGUCGGCUAAACUCAUCCUAUAAGGUCAAAUAGGAUAAUCAAAUGGUGUGUGAGACAAUCGGGCCCUCACUCUCUCUUUACCUAGUCACGCCAUGUAUCGGUAAUCGGCCUUAGUAGGAGUGAACCCUAGUCCAAUUAUCGUAUCAUGGUCAAUGGCAGCUAUAAACUCACUGGGUCCCUAUUGACGUAGUCCUAACCCUAUGCUAGGUAGAAAAAACAUACUCCUCAUCAUAUCAAGAACCACUGUACUGCUGUGCUAAUCAAAUGACAUAGCUACAAAAUCUUUGCAAAAAUCCUCAAUCUCAAGAGUCUGUAUCUCAUCAAAAGUAAACCCAGUAAAAAAUAGGUCAUCCUCACUGUGGCUGAUCUGAAGUAUUGGCUCGGAAGAGACAAACAUAUUUUUGGUAAAUGGUACCAUGAUGACCUGCCCAUCAUGAUUGAACUUCACCUUCUAAUGAAGGGAAGAAGAAAUAACUCUCUCUUAGUGCUAUCAUACGCUCUGAUUGUCUGAGUAGAAGGAUUAAAAUUUGAAUGUGCGAAAUCGAGGGCUAUAACAGUGGCUAAAUGGCAGACAUUCAGGGUUGAGCCAUUGUCCAACAUAACAGAUGGAACUAUGUGGCUUGAACAACCAACUGAAAUAUAUAGAGGACGUAUGUGGUCUAAACCCCUAGGUGGAAAAUCAUCAUCUGAAAACACAAUGCAAGUGGUUUUGCCAGAUGUCAUCAUAUGAAUCAACCCCUUUGGAGUGGUGAUAGUCUCUCCCUUGAUCUGACUUCAGGCUCGAAUCAAAGCAUCUCUAUGAGUACUAGAUGAUGAUAAUAAACUCCAAAUAGAAAUACGAGACUGGGAGCUCUGUAACUAUCUCAAAACCUCAUCAUCCUUUCUCCUAACCUCCUCACGAGAAGUUGCAUUCUCAAAUGGCCUGAUUGCUGCUGGUGGUGGUUGAGCUAUCCUCCCACUAGGAGUCACAAUCUGUAUGUCUCUCCCAUUUGAAUCAUCAUCCUCUAGCCAUAAAGUGAACGAGACAAAAGUAUCUUAGCGUUUGAUAACCAAAGAUGUAGAAUGAGUCAACUGGAACGGUGCCCCAUCUGGGAUCAAACUGAACGAUGUGGGAACCUGAGGACCCAAUGAAACCCCAUCAACCCCAUCAACCAUGGGAACGAAUCUACAGGGCUAUCACCUUCUUUGGCCAGAUCUUUCAACCUUUUCACAAUUACAGUUCACUGCGCCCUUUACUAAUAGAAUAUCUAGUAAAGGGGCUUGAAAGCUUACCUUAUUAUUCGAAUUUUAGAAAGGUUUGGAACCGGAGUUUUCGCCCCAACCGUUGUUAGGGGGUCGUUAGACCGUAGCUUGCUACUGAAAAACGUAAUAGGCUAGCGCGGCUCGCUUCGCUCUUCAAGCUCCGCCCCCCUUACUCACCUCUGAAUCUAUAAAAAAAGCCCUUUCCCAUUCUUAUAAUAAUAAGGUAAGCUUUGAAGCCGUAGCUUGCUGGUUUUUCCAUCAUCCAAUCCACAUCGAAUGAAACCUGGCGAAAAAGAAGUGAACACUUUGCUGAGGAUUCGUGUUUGUUUUUCUUCAAAGCCCCAAUCCGCUCUCGCUCGCCGCUACUAACGGGGUCUCGGUUGAUUUCCCUUCCUUUAGCUACUCAGAUGUUUCAGUUCGCUAAGUUUGAAAAGUCUAAAGAGCGUAGACUAGCCACGGAGCUUGGAUACGGUUUCCCGAUCGGAGAUCCAUGGAUCACAGACGGUAUCUCCCCAUGGCUUUUCGCCUCUGAAAGCGUCCUUCCUUCUCAAUGCCCGGGCCUCAUAAUUGUCAUGCAAAACAAUCAGCCCGGGUAAUCUAUCAUCCCAACAUAUGUAUACUGUCAUCCUCUAUAAGGUCUAUGUGUUGGAUAUCUCCUAGAGGUUGAGACAUUACAUGUGUAGAAUGGGCAGGAAGAGGGUUAGUGGUUACACUUGGCUGCCCCAAGUUAACCAAACCUUGGUCUAUCAAAUCCUGAAUAGCAUGUCUUAGAGCGUUGUAGUGGUCCGUGUCAUGCCCUAGUCCCUGAUGAUAAGAAUAGUGUAAGUCUAAUUUGAAGUGAGGCGACACUAGCUGAGGUAUUGGCUUAGGUGCCAAUGGAGUCAAUAACCCACCCUCUAUGAGCUUUUGAAAAGUUUAACUCAAAGGCUUACCUAAAUGAGCAAACUAACGUGAUAACCUCUACACAUAAGUAGUGGUCUGUGGGGCUCGAGACCGAGUGUAUGGGAUAGGAGGUCUCUCUAUGACAUGUGCAACAAAAAUAGGUUAUGAGACUGGAUGUAGAUAAGUGGGAGUCAUGGGCCUAGAGGGAAUAGGUGACCUAUACUGUACAUGAGGUGAUGGUGGGUAGUAGAAUUUAGAAGUUUGCCUAACUAUCUUCCUAAAGGCUUCUUUUCCUUAGAGUCAGUAGGGGAAGACUCGGGCCAUAGUCCUUUAGCUAUGCCCUCCUCUAUACCAUAUAAAGCCUGUACUAAAGAUCCAAAAUCCGUACAAGGAAAUCCCAUCAAGUGCUUAGCAAACUUAGGUGUAGACCCUCCAUUUUAUCCUACUAGCACAUGUUCUAUUACGUGUUCGUUUUAUACUUUACAAUAAUUCCUUGGUGACCCAUUAGGCACUUUCUUAGGCCCACUUUGGCACCCUAGGCCCAUUUAGAUUCACUUGGCCCAUUAGGUACACUCCUAGGUCACUUGACACAUUUCCGAUCACCUUACGUCACUUAGGCACUUUUCACUUAGGUCACUUAGAUUCUUUUUUUGGGUCUAAAUCCCUAAGAUUGAUUUCUUGAUUGCUUGAUUUUUGAGAUUAGGUGAGUAUUAUGCUUGAUUUGGAUUUUGAUUGCUUGAGAUGAAUUUUUGAUAUUUAAUUGCGUCAAUUUGAUAUUUUGUUUUUUUUUAAAUUUUUUAUUAUGUUUUAGUUUAAUAUUUAGAUUAUUAAUUAUAAGCAUUUGAUAUUUAUUUAUUUUUUGCUUUAUUUAUUCAUUCAUCUAUUUAUUUAUUUUCCGAAAAAUGCAUGUGAUUUGUGAUCUUAUCUUAUUAUUAUUAUUAUUAUUUUGGUAAAUUAAUUUUUUGAAAUGUUUCAAUAUAAUUUUUUUUAAUGAAUAAUUUUUUGGUAAUUUAUUAUUAUUAUUAUUAUUAUUAUUAUUAUUAUUAUUAUUAUUAUUAUUAUUAUUUGUUUAUUUACUUUAUGUUUUUAUUUUUUAUUUUAUUUUAUAUAUGUAAAAAAAAUAAAAAUUGAGAAGCAUGGGAACUGGUGGGCUGCAUGGAAAAGAGGCUGAAUUUUUGAAAAUCGCUGGGUGAAGAAAAUGAUGCUUGGAAAAAAGGGUUAGUGAGGAGUUUCAAGGAGUUUUGCAUAGGAAAAGCACAGAUGAGGUUUGAAGAAAAAGCGGGAUAAAGAGAAAGCAGGAGAAAGAUGAUUCAGGAGAAAACCAGGAAGAGAACAUUCAAAUUUGAUGGGAGAAAACCAAGGAGAGAGCAUUCAAAUUUGAGGGGAGGAAAAAAGACGUUUAGAAAAAUGAGUAACAAGGAGAAGGAAAAUCAGAAGAAGAAAAAUAGAGAACUAUUGGGGAUUUUGAGAGCAAAAAAUAGAGCAAAAGAGAGAGAAUAGCAAAAGGAGGCGGAGCAAAGGAGAAGAAGUUGAGUUGAAGCCAAGCAAUUAUUUGCUUAAGGGGAGCUUUCCAGGUAUGACGAUUGUAGCAUUUUGUUUCUCAUUUUUACACUACUUUACUCUCAUUUUCAAUCGUUUUUCUAAGUAUUGAUUUGCUGAUUGGUGAGGACAUAAGGGGCCAUUCGCUUGCUUUACUAGAUCUACUAUUAUGUACAUGCUCUGUUUUGGGCUUUGAAUUUUGGUAUCUUUGUUUUUUUUUUUUGGUAAAUACCUGAUGCAUAAAUCCCUUCCUAAGUUUGAUAGAUAAAAAUCAUGCUUUUGUUUCAUGUGGAUUCCACCUACUCCUAGCUCCUUAUUAGUAUAUGAAAUAGAGCUAAGAUUCUUUGAUGUUUGGUCAUUUGUUCGUUUAUGCUUUGCUCCUGUUUCUAUUCUUCCUUGUAUUACUUUGUUUUUGGUAUCUCUAGGUGAUGAUACAAUAGCUAUGGUCAUGCAACCAUUGAGAAGUCUUCGUUCCCCAGGUAUCCGUCACCAUUUGGUUGGCAUGUUAGAGAAGUAUUGCAUGGGGCUGACAAGAUAUGGUAAGAAAUUUCUAGCUUCAAAGUGAUAUCUUCGUUUUCUUGCUAAGUACCAGAACUGGUGGAUUGGGGAUCUGAUCACUAACGAGAAUAAUGAGCAUUUUGAGUUGAAUGAGGGUCCUUCGAAAGUCUACAGAUGAUGGCCAAUUGAUUUUGAAGUUGAGGAUAUGGCUGUUAUAAAUCUUCAUAGAUGCAUGGAAGGAAAGCUGAAAUGGGAAGCAAAAUUCAGACCAUGAAGUACAGAAAGCACUUGAUGUAACUGUUAGAAAUAAGUAGAAAGUUUAACCUGGUUCUGCAUUCUUCAUAUAGUUCAUAACACGUUAUCUAAAUGGGAAUACGGGAAUGUAGAAAAGGGUUACCACUAUGGCUAGAAGAUGGGUGGGUAAGCACUCACCAGAAAUCGCCAUUGGGUUUAAUCAAGAAGCAGCAACUUCAAUCAUGGCCAGACUUGCCAUCCAUUGAGCGGAGACGUGUUAUGCUUGAGAUGUCAUCAAAUGGUUGGAUAAUGAAUCGAUUCGUUUUGUUUCCAAGUUUGGGGAUUGUAUACAAGAAGAUCCAUCUUCUUUUUGUCUAUCAACCAACUUCUCUUUGUACCCAUAGUUCACGUACCCAUCAUACCUAUUUCUCUCACUACCCACAGCUCCAUUCACCACCUAACCCUAUAAACACACUUCUUUCACCACCUCUUUCAUUUAAACCCAUUUUCCUAACCCAUCAUUAUGCACUCCCUGGUCAGGCCAGAAACGGAUAUGCCCUUUUCUUACACCUUUAUCCAUCACUAAUACUCCCAUUUAUCAUACCUACUACCAGCAACCGAAACCCAUCACCAUACUCACAUCUCAAUUUUUUCAAUAUCCACUAAAGCCACUUCUCUCUCUACCUUCCAUCACCCAUUCCACCAUUCAUUCCCCACUUGUUUGUUUUUCAUCUUCCCAUGUACAUGAAGUCCCAUGCACACAGUCACCAUCAUCUCACCAUCCUUCUAAUCUUCAUACCCUAACACACCCCUUACCACCUCGCUAUCACUCACCCAUGCACACCUCACCACGGCUCACCCAUGCACCCCAUGGCCGCCAUGCUUACCAUAGCUCACCCAUGUAGCCUAUAUGAAGUCUGCAUGCACCCCAUGGUCACCACCCUCACAGUUCACCCAUGCAGCCCGCACCUCAUCUCAUGCACCCGUGGCCUCCAUAAUACCACCAUGCAGUCCAUGACUACCCUCACAGCUCACCCAUGCAGCCAGUACCUCAUCUCAUGCACCUAUGGCUACCACACCAUCACCUAAAACCCACACAUGCACCUCACAACUCACCUAGAGCCUACACCUCACUUCAUAGCUCACCCAUGCCGCCCAUGGUUCACCCAUGGCCACCACAUGCUCACCCAUGGCUCACCCACAACUCACACCUCACCACACACCUUCCACAGUCCGUAUGCAGCCACCACAACCCACAUGCAGCUCAAGGUCUCCAUACAACCACCAAAUGCAGCCUACAUACAACUUAAAGCCACCACAUACAACUCAAAACCACCCCAUAGUCCAUAUGCAACUCAAGGUCUCCAAAUGGCCACUAAAUGCAGCCCACAUACAGCUUAAAGCCACCCCACAAUCCGCAUGCAGCUCAAGGUCUCCAAACGGCCACCAAAUACAGCCCACAUACAGCUUAAAGCCACCCCAUGGCCCACAUGCAUCUCAAGGUCUCCAAACGGCCACCAAAUGCAACCCACAUAUAGCUUAAAGCCACUCCACAGCUCACAUGCAACUCAAAGUCUCCAAACAACCACCAAAUGCACAUACAACUUAAAGCCAUUCCAUGACUUACCCAUGUAGUGGCCACUUUCUAUUCUUUUGGUUUUUUUCUUCUUAUUUUAAUAUGAAAAAUUUAUCUAUUUAUUUAUUUUAUUUAUUCCUUUUAUUAUUCUCAAAUAACUAUUUAAAAUCCCAUUUUUUUUAAUCUAAUAUUCAAAAUACAAAUUUCAAAUGAUUUUCUAAAUUUUCCAAAUUGAAUCUUUAAAAUUCAAUUCUAAAAUAGUUUUCCGAAUUUAAUCCACAAAAUACAAUUUUCAAAUGAUUUUAUAUGUUUUCUGAAUUUAAUCUUUAAAAUUCAAUUCUCAAAACAUUUUCCAAAAUUAAUCUUUUAAAUUCAAUUCUCAAAAUAGUUUUCCAAAAUAAAUUUUUUAAAAAUUCAAUUCUUAAAAUAGUUUUCCGAAUUUAAUAUUUAAAAUUCAAUUCUCAAAACAGUUCCCCAAUUUAAUCUUUAAAAUUCAAUUUUCAAAACAGUUUUCCAAAUUUAACCUUUAAAAUUCAAUUCUCAAUAUAAUUUUCCAAAUUUAAUCUUUAAAAUUCAAUUCUCAAAAUAGUUUUCCAAAUUUAAUUUCUUAAAAAUUUAAUUCUCAAAUAUUUUUCCAAAUUUAAUCUUUAAUAUUCAAUUCUCAGAACAGUUUUCCAAUUUUAAUCUUUAAAAUUCAAUUCUCAAAAUAGUUUUCCAAAUUUAAUCUUUAAAAUUCAAUUCUCAAAAUAGUUUUCCAAAUUUAAUUUCUUAAAAAUUUAAUUCUCAAAUAGUUUUCCAAAUUUAAUAUUUAAAAUUCAAUUCUCAAAAUAGUUUUCCAAAUUUAAUUUCUUAAAAAUUUAAUUCUCAAAAUUUCCAAAAUUUCGAAAUUUCAAAUUCAAUUUUUUUGAAUACCAUUUUCAAAUAAUUUUUCAAAAUUCCAAAAUUUCAAAUUCAUUUUUGUAAAAAAUACCAUUAUCAAAUUUUCCAAAGUUCCAAAAUUCCAAAAUUAUUUUUUAAAACUAUUAUUUUCAAAUAAUUUUCCAAAGUUCCAAAAUUCCAAAAUUAUUUUUAGAACUAUUAUUCUCAAAUAAUUUUCCAAAGUUCCAAAAUCCCAAAUUUAGUUGUUAAAAUUAUUAUUCUCAAAUAAUUUUCCAGAUUUCCAAAAUUUCAAACUUAAUUUUUACUGUCAUCGUUAAAUGAUUUUUCAAAAUUCCAAAUUCCAAAUUUAAUUUUCCAAACUCCCAUUUUCAAAUUUUUUUAAAUUAAAAAAAUGAAUAAGUUUUCAUAAUUUCAAAAUAAUAAAAUUUAUGAGAAUUAAUUCAUAGUAAAAAUAGAUUGGGCUUUGGUGGGAGUCCAACAUUCAUAACUUUUCUUUAAAAAAUAAUUCAAGUAAAUGGUGCGAUCGAUUUUGAUUUGGUUUUGUGUGAGAUUUUUACACUUGUCAUUGUACACUAAUCAUGUUUUCAUAACAAUGCUUUAUUAUCUGCUACCAAGUUAUGCUCUCACUCUCACUUGGUUUAUAUUUCGGUAUCAUGACUUGUUUUUAAGAUAUGAUCAUUUUGGUAUCCAUUGAUUUUCUAGUUAAUUGUCAUGCAUGCUUUACCUUAUUUAGUAGAGACCCAUUUUUAGGGGAUUAGAAGGGUGCUACGGUCUUUAUUGUAUCUUCCUAGUAGGUAACCUGAUCCCCAGACCCAGACUUAGGUUUUUCGUAGAUUGCUUUUCCACAAAAAUCAGGAGUCCUUUUAGGGGUUUUAUUCUUACUUGUUUUCCCCUUUAAAAGUAAAUAAAAAUAAGUGGCGACUCCAAGUAUUUUCUAAAAAUCAUAUUUUUUUCACCAAAUAAACAAAAAACGAGUCGCGUCAUCGGGUGGGAACACAUCGAGCUAAAAAUACGGGGUCCACAAAUUGGCGAAUCCAUUGGGGAUCGAACCCAGAAUCUUUGGUUUCAUAAAAAAUCAAUCUCGAACUUAAGUUGAGGCAAAUAUGACAUUUGAUUAGUCGAUUGAUGGAUACCAUCUCUUUGUGCUUUUCUAUGAUUGAGUGUUCAUAGCAUAUUAAGAUUUUGAUGUGAUGAUUUCCUAUGCUUGACUGUCAUAUUCAUUUGGGACAUUAGUGUGAUGAUGACAUUGAUUGUUUAUCUUGCCUGUCUUAGUAUAGUGAUUUUGAUCUUGCCAUGAUUGUUCUGCUCACCUCACAUGUAUAGACUCAUUGUUGUAUAUCUUUCGAUUGCGUGUGUUGAUUAUCUUGCUUGUAUAUUAUCUUGAUCAUCUUUGAGCAUGCUGUCUUUAUCACUAUUCAUUUUGAUUGUCAUAUUCUCGUUUAGCUUAUGUGUAGACAUGGAUGAUAUAUCUACACUUUGCUUGACUGUUUGUUGCAUGACUGCUCUUCUUUUGUAUGUUUGCAUGUUGUUUGUCUGUGUGAGUCGCACAUAUAUCCUCUUACCUCCAACCCUCUAGUUUUGGUCAUUUCCUUCAUCUCGACUCUUAUUUUUGCAAGUGUGAGGCCUUGUGUGUGCUUGUUUCUCUGACCAAGCAACAAGCUAUAUCGUUGUUUGGGAGCAUUCUACAGAAGGCCAACACAUUGAUGUUGAUUGGAGUAUGAUCUUUGAAGACUUGUAUAGCCUAGAGCUAGGUUUCAUGGAUAUUUGUGUGACUAGUGUGUUUCUUUUUCUAUUUUAGCUUCAUAGGAUUUUCGGAUGCACCCACACCACUCACCGUGCACUUUAGUUGACUAUUGAGUACUGAGAGUUGCGAGAGCUUUCACCAUAAGAAAACACUUGGGAUGUCGAGGUAGUGCAUGUGUGGAUGUAAUGACCACCUUGCAUAGAAGCGCCUCGUUUCUUCGAAGGCAUGCAGAAGGUUGCUUACCACCGAAGGGUAUGAUCACUUCUGCUAGGGAUCCUUUAACCCACCCUAUUAUUUUUAAAGCCACCUUAUCCUUAUAGGCUAAGCUUAGAAUCAAAUUUCACGUGAUUUGUUGCACCAGAAUCAAUUAUCCAUGCACUAUUCAAAAUAGAUGUAGAAAUAUUUAAAACCUUACCACCAUUAUCUACAUCUAUUACUAAUGUUGAGGCUUUUCCAAUAACAUCAUCUUCUGCUUUUGUUUCAAUAACUGCAAUGGUUAAGGUCAUUUUUUAUUUUCUUUGAAUGACUAUGAUCCCACCAUUCUGGAUAUCCUACUAGUUCAAAACAACGACUUUUGGUAUGACCAGCCUUAUUGCAAUGAGUGCAUUAAUAAGUGGACUUAUCAAUACCAUUGAUUGUUUUACCAUUGUUGGCUUGCAAACGAUCUUGUUGAUUCUGAUUAGACUGAUUUUGGUCCAUCAUAGCACUAGCUUUAGGUGUUACAAAAUUGCUUUUCAAAGUGGUGUUAUGUAUGGCAUCUCAUCGAAUCAAAGAGUAGCAUUCCUCCAAGUUUGGAAUUGAGUUCUUGCACAAAAUCUCUCGUCGGAUUUGGUCAAACUCUUCAUCUAAUCCAGCCAAGAAUAUGUGAACUCUCAAUCGUUCAAUAGACCUGUAAUAUGUCGUGACAUCAUCAAGAUCCUUCAUAACCGCCUUAUCAUGAUGGUCCAAUUCUUGGAAAAUUUAUGUCAACUCUCUAUAAUAUACAGAGAGUUUUUUCACUUUGUUUUGCAGAGAAGGCCUUCUAAUUUAGAGAAUACACUUUUAAUUCAUCACUUCCAUCAUAAAAUGAUUUUGACAAUGCAUCCCAAAUUUCAUAGGCAAUGGGCAAUCAUAAGUAACGCUGCAUAAUUUCUAGAGACAUGGACAUUAAAAGCCACAUUUUAACCUUUUGAUUUUCAACUUACCAUUUUUCAUAACCUUCAUCAGACUCCACAUGUGGCUUAGUUUUGCCCCGAAUAUAGGAGAUCUUAUCUCUUUCAACAAUCUGUAUCUCUAUCAAUUGGGACCAUAUGUUAUAGUUAGAUUCUGUAAGAGUGAUUCCGACAUUAAACGUUCAUUUGGCCUGAAUUACAAUACUUUUUUCAUUCAUUUGCUUUAAAGGGUCUUCUUUAUCACUCCAACAGAUUGAGACCUACCUUCAAAAGAUAGGUAGAACAAGGUCAAGAGAUGCAAUGAAAAUUAAUCACGAUGACAACUUAGGCACAAUGGCAAAGCAAGUGAAAAGAAUCAAAAGUCAGUGGUUGGUGAGUGUUGAUCACAAGAACGAGAAGUGGAUCGGACUUGGUCAGAUGCUGAAGUGCCACAUCGAGUUCGCCUUCUCACAAUAAUGAUUUCAUAAUUUUAUGUAAAGCCACGGUUGAUUGUAUUUCGUUUAUUUUUUUAGGCUCUAUUACCGUCUUUUAACAAAUCAUCCCUAAAGAUUGGUUUAGAUUUUUCGCUAGAGUUGCCGAGAAAUUUUUCUGAUAUUCUAGGAUCAAAAUGGAACUAGUUUUCUAAUUUAGGGUAACUUCUGGGUUUGGAUUUUGAAUGAUUAUUAAAAUAAUAAUAAUAAUAAUAAUAAUAAUAAUAAUAAUAAUAAUAAUAAUAAUAAUAAUAAUGGGUUUAGCAACUGAGUGUUUUCUCUUACAUAGUGUCUUCCUCCCAUAUGCAUGUCACUUCCUCUUGUACGACCACUUUGGUACACACUAUCCUCCUCUUGAUGCAUUUCUUUUAUCUUUGUGUGAAUUUAGAUGUUUUGAAUUGGGUUUUCAAACUUCUUUCUAUUUAAAUUAUCUCAAUUUUUAAAUUUCAUCCUUAGACUUUUCUUUUUAGGUCUCUAAAAUAUUUUUAAUAAAUUUAUUGCCAUAUUUCCUUCGGCAUGCACCUUUCUUUUAUUUUUAAUAACUUUCUCGAUUUCCUCAAUUUUUUAGUAACAUGAAUAAAUUCCACAAUUCCAAAAUAAUGGAAUUUUCUCUAACUCUUUUGUGGUCUUUCCUUUAUGAUCAUUAGAAAGCAGGAAAAUGUGGAUGACUUCAUGCAAAUAAAUUUAGGUAGUGGUGGGGCUUGACAUACAUGAUAUUUUCCUUUGAUUAUUGAUUCCAAUUGCUUUGUUUACUACAUAAAAGAUUGAAUAUUUCUUAGCUAUUGUGAUAUACAUGUGAGAUAUUUUACACUUAUCAUUGUGCACUAACUUUGUCUCUCAGUGCUUAGUUUGCCGCUAAGGUAUACCCUCGAAUCAUGAUGAUCAUCCUCAGUAUCCAUUGAUUAAGUAGUUAAUUGUCAUACUUGUCUUAACUUGAUUUGUAGAGACCUAAUUUUAAGGCUUAGAGGGGUGUUAUAACUUACCGUUGUACCUUCCUGAUAGGUAACUGAUCCUCAGACCCCAACUUGGUUUUGCAUAGACCUGUUUUUUCCUUUCUAGGUGUCACACUUAGGGUUUUCUUUCUUUUUUUGUUUUUCCAAAAAUAAUUGGCAACUCUAAAACCAUUUUUAAAAAAAUAAACUUUUCAUAAAUAAAAAGCAAAUCUCUCCAUUGAGUGGAAACGCAUGUGAAAAACAUGGAUUUACAAUUUUGUAUUAAAAAAAAAUCAUAGAAUCCCUUUUUCACAUUUAGUAUUAUUUAAAAAGUAUUCCAUAAAUUUAUUAUAGCAACUUUGACCAUUGGAAGGAUUGCUCGAUCGCUUGAGCCACUUGAGCAUUAAUCCAACCACUCAAGCAAUAAGGCCACUUGAGCGCUAAUCAAAUCGCUCAAGCAUUAAGGCCACUCGAGUGCUUAUCUAAGCGCUUAAGCAUUGCAUCCUGUAGUUGUGCACUUGAGGUUAUUUCUACAACUUUUUUGGCCACCGUUUCUUUGAAAAAUUCACAUUUUUGAACAACUUUUUACACCAUGGAUGUUUGUGAAUGCUUUGAACUUUUAAUCUUGGCUUUUAGGUCACCAAAGACAUAUAAAAACUGAUUUUUUUCAAAGAGAAAGAUCAAAUGCUCUGUCGAAAUAGAGCUUACAAUUCGUCUAAGAACAAAAACCGAAUUUUUUACACCCAAAUAUAAAAAUAAUAAUCCAUAUUUUGUUACAUCAUGUCAUGGUUUUAAGGGUUUUAUCACAUUUAUUAGAUAUAAAAGAAAGAGAAGAAGCAAAAAAUAAACAAAUUAAUGUCUUGUAAAGUUGAAGGAUGAAAACCCUCAUGACAUGAAGACUUUUGCAAGACUAGUUUUCAUAAUGAGGAAGGAUAAGGUCGCACAUCAUGUGGAUUUUCCCAUUGAUAGAUUUGGUGGAGAUUUUAAGACAUUCUUAUUGAAAGAGGACAUAGAGGAUAUUCAUUUUGUAAUUCUACAAUACUUAGAUGAUAUUUCCCUUUAAUCUUAGAUUUAUAAAUUCUCAUUACACUAGAUGGAGAUGGAGGUGAUGGUACUAUUUUGAUUAACGUAGAUGCCAUACCAAUUUUUUUUGGAGUUAUUUAUCAUUUUGUAUAAGGUGUGAACCAUACCUAGAUUGAUUCUGUUGUUUCUUUGCUGUGAAGAGAAAAUUCCAUAUCUAAUAUAAAAAAGUUUGUUGGGGAAAGUGGUAAAGUGGUGGAGAUGUUGACUUAAGAUUGGCAAUAUGGUGGCCUUUUAAAACUUACCCAAAAUCCAUACCAAGUGUUUUUGUUUUUUUUUUCAUUCGUUUUUUCUUUUAUUGGGAAAACAAAUUGAUUUCUAAUUUAGUUAAAUUUGUUUGGGAAAAAUGGUGAAGAUGGUGGUUGCCUUGUGUAUUCAAGUUCCUAGAGAAGAUUGCAAGAUGGUGACAUUUUGAAAUGGCUUAAGAAGAGAUGUUUUUUCAUCCAAAGUUGAUACAAGAUUUUGGAGCUACUCACAAUUUUGCAUAACCUAUGGAUCACACAUAUUAAAUAUUAAUUCUUUAUCUAUUUUGUGAGGAAAAAAAAAAUCAUUUGUGGUCUAAAUAACAUUCAUGAGGGAAAAUGGAGAAUUAUGUUGAAAUUAAAUUAAAUUAUGUUUGUUGUUGAAAUUAAAUUAGAAUGCAAAAACAGCUGUUGAAAUUAAAUUAUGUUUGUUGUUUUCUUCUAGGUUAUCUUAUUUGCAAGGACAUGACGAAUCUUGUUUGUGGAUCUUUCAUGUGACACAAGAUAUGAUAAUAUAGAUGUGAUGUAAAUUGGUGGGACAUUAAUACAAUGACACUUAUAUUGUUGGUAAGUUAAUUUAGAUAAAUUUAAAAUAGUGGUAGAUUUUAACCAGGGAAAAUAUUCCGACUUUGGUAAUAGGUACCUCGGGAGAUAUUUUUUUUAGGGUUAAUUUCUUACCCGAGGUUUUUGCCAAAUAAAUCUUUUUAUUUAUUAUUCUCACUCACAAUUUCUCUUGACGAAAUUUCAAAUCUGUCAUGUGUAUUUAAUUAAAAUCUCAAAAGAGGUAAAUAAAUCAACCCAUUUUUUAUGGAAAUAAAAUUGGGUCUUUUGUUAAUAUGAAUGGUCAAUAUUGAAAUUAUGAAGAAAAAGAACGACUUAUUUCAUAUGGAUGAUUUAUCAAAGUUAACCAUAAAAUUUGCAAAUGCAUUUUGUGAAUAAGCACUGAUGCUUUCUUAUUGUCAAGGUUUGUGUACAAAUUAAGCUCUUUUUAUUCUUACGUGGAAAUGGAUAAUAUAAAAGAAAAUAAAAUAUAAUUAAAAUUAAUUUAAAUUUCUACAUUUUAAAGUUAUUUAAUUUUUAUAUCGAUGAGUUAAAAUAAGUAAAAUGAGAUUGAAAUAGUAAAUAAAAAUAAUUUAUCGAUCUUUAAUUUAUUUUUUAUUAUCCUUUAUUUUUUAUUUUCUUCUACUUUUCUUUAAUAUUUUCUUUCUUUUUUAAUUUUCCCUCAAAUUUUCCGGGAGUCAAACAUAGUCAAAGGGAUUAUCAAGAAAAAAAAAUAUUAUGAAAAAUGAUUUCUUAUGUUUGAUUUUACUAUAUGAUAAAUGCAAAAAAAAAAAAAAAAAAGUGGGAUAUAAUUAAAAUUAUAAAAAAAAAAUUGUAUAUUUUUUAAAUUGUUUAAUCUUUAUAUAAAAUAAUUAAAGAAAUGAAAAAAAAUUAAAAAAACAUAUAAAAAUAAUUUAUUAAUUUUAAAUUUAUUUUUUAUUUUCUAUUUUUACUCUCUACUUUUUAUCUCUUCCACUUUCUUCGAGACUUUCCAAAUCAAACGUGAAAGAAGAAAGAUUAAGAAAAAGGGAAAAGGCAAUAGAUGUCUGUAGAAGUUCACUGAUUGAGAUGCAAAGCCCAUCCGUGACUUGAUCUGAUUUGGCAAAUGUUGGUCCGUGACUUUGCUCUGGACCCAUCAGCCCUUUUGCCGUCCACGUCUUCUUCACAUGGGAUUUUGCAAAAGCUGGUUGAUAAUGAAAUGGCGAACACACGUACCACCAAAACAAUUUUAUAUCAAUUAUCUUCUUAAUUUUGUCUCUAUUUCAAUGUCCAGUGACGAUCAGAAUUUGAAUGCACAAGAAAUGGAUGGAUAAUGAUGUCAUUAAACAUAAUUUAAUUUUUAUUUUAAAAGAAAAUCUUUAUAAAAAGCAAAUAAAUCCAAUGGAAACAGAAAUGUGAAAGGGUUGCAGACCCUGCUUUUGCCUUGGUUAAUGGGAGCGAAGCUGACAGCUUCGGCCUCUGGGUUUGGUGUAUUCAUUGUUAUAAUAUCAAUACUUGUGGAUAGACCUACAGGGGGUGAUGGCUGCUUAGUGCGCCGGAGACUGGAGGGGUAAGGAAAGCAAGCUUCUUCUUGUUGAUGUGAGCCUGGAGGUGGCUAGUGGAAAACUGAUAAUGGGGACACAAAUCCUUCCUUCAUCACAUCUGCUCUGCCUGUUAAUGGCAAUUUUUUUAUCAGGAAUCCAUCAUUCAUGCCAGCUAGAGCCAUCUCAAUCUCAGGCCCUUGUCAAAAUCCGGCAGCUUCUCUACAACCCAUCAGUUGUAAGCAUUUGGGAUUCCAGACCAGACAUUUGCGACCUUGAUCAACUAGAGUCAUCAUCUCAUUCUCUAACACUGGCAUGCUAUGAAGACAGCAUAACCCAGCUGCAUAUUAUUGGGAACAAUGAGCCACUGCCUCAAAAUUUCUCCGCGGAUUCUUUCUUCGCUGCUCUAACCAGUCUCCCAAACUUGAAGUCCUGUCUUUGUGUCCCUAGUAUGUGGGGGCCUUUGCCCACUGNNNNNNNNNNNNNNNNNNNNNNNNNNNNNNNNNNNNNNNNNNNNNNNNNNNNNNNNNNNNNNNNNNNNNNNNNNNNNNNNNNNNNNNNNNNNNNNNNNNNUUCUUCGCUGCUCUAACCAGUCUCCCAAACUUGAAGGUCCUGUCUUUGGUGUCCCUAGGUAUGUGGGGGCCUUUGCCCACUGUAACUGGUAAUUUGUCUUCAUUGGAAAUACUCAAUCUUACUUCCAAUUACUUCAAUGCCACCAUCCCUGUACAAGUAUCAUCUCUGAAGAACCUCCAAACGCUAGUACUAGAGGGUAACAUGUUCACUGGUACUGUUCCUGAUUGGCUGAGUUCACUCCCACUCUUGGCUGUUCUGAGUCUCAAGAACAAUUCCUUUCAUGGGACUCUUCCGGAUUCUUUGUCAAAUUUGAGAAACAUCAGGAUUCUUGACCUUUCAAUGAAUCAUUUAUCUGGACAAGUGCCCGAUCUUCGGAACUUGACCAACCUUCAAGUUCUUGAUAUACAAGAUAAUUUUUUUGGACCUCAAUUUCCUAGUUUGCACACUAAGUUGGUUGCCCUGGUACUCAGAAACAAUCAGUUCCACUCUGGUAUUCCUGUUGAAUUAAGCUACUAUUAUCAGCUGCAAAAACUGGACAUCUCUUUCAACGGAUUUGUGGGACCAUUUUUGCCAUCACUGCUGUCCCUGCCUUCAAUCACUUAUCUAGAUGUAGCAAAGAAUAGAUUCACUGGAAUGCUUUUCCCAAACAUGUCUUGCAAUCCCCAACUUGCUCUAGUGAAUUUGUCCUCAAAUCUUUUGACUGGGGACUUACCUCCUUGCUUACAAUCGGCUCCUAAGAGCCGGGUUGUGGUGUAUGAGAGGAAUUGUCUUUCCAGUGGAGAUCAGGUGCAGCAUCCUUAUUCCUUUUGCAGAAUUGAAGCUAUGGCUGUGAAAAUCUUGCCUCAUAUGCACAAGGAAGAGAGAAGACCAUUUUCCAUAGCAGUCCUUGCAUCAAUCAUAGUGGGAGUGAUUGUUGGAGUAGUUGCACUCGUUGGGUUAGUUUUUUUGGUCAUUAGAAGAUUAAAUGCUCAGAACACGGCAAAGACACCCGCAACAAGAUUACCAUCUGAGCAAUUCUCAACUGUAGAUGCAGCAAAACUGAUUUUCGAUGCAAGUAAGAUUUACGCUUUCCUUUUCUUUUUUUCUCCAGAAUGCUUACAACCUAAGGCUGCAUAUGCUGGACCAUCACUUUCUCUUGCUCUCAAAUAGCAAGAAUGCUAAUUUUGGUGUGAAAGUGCAGACUAAUGAGGGCAUAAUUUUCCCGCAUUCUUCCCAACUGCUUCCUAUCAAAUUUAAUGGAACUACAAUUUUUUACUUCCUAAUUUUUUCCUCAUGCAAGCAGAUGGAUCCUAUUGUGAUUAGGAGAAUCCUAGAAUAUAAACAGAUUUAUGUUACUCUCUUCUGGAAGGACUUAAUGUAGAAUUCCCAUUUAUUUUGUCCAUUAUUUGUUGAACAAUUCAUUCUAAGACUCCAACAUUUUCCUCAAUAAAAAUGAUGGUAUAUUAUGCUAAAUGGUGGACAACCAUGGGCAUUCCAACCUGCAUCCUGUUUUAAUAUUAGCAAUCUUGAGAGUUCCCUGUUUCUCAUGUUCUGCUUGAAGUGAUUAUGGUAAUUUUACUCUGUUGAUGAUCUUGCAUAUGGAGAAUUUGGAUUUGUUUACCGUUCAUAGAUAUUCAUGGAUGUAAAUUUUAAUUUAAUUCAGUUCCAGCUGACAUAUCUAAGAAAAAUAGUAAAGAAAUUUGUACUUAGAAACAUGACAUAUGGCUAUUUGAAAUUCUUGUACUUUCAGGAAAUAUAUCACAAACAAUGAAGCUUGGAGCUCUUGGUCUUCCUGCUUAUCGAACCUUUUUCCUGGAGGAGCUUAAGGAGGCUACCAAUAACUUUGAUGAAUCAAGUCUGAUUGAAGGUUCUCAUGGUCAGGUAAUGCCAUUUUUCUUUUUGUUAACUCCCAUAGUUUUCCUCAUUUAUCUGACUGCCAUGAAACUGCCUUACCUUAAAGUAGGCUUAAAUAGAAGCCCUUUUUUAGCAGAAAGUUCCAUGGAUUAACCAUGUAAAAAUUAAAAAAUAGCAUAUAACUCAAAUCAGCACCAUAGAGCCUUAACCAUCUGAAGAAAAUAAAUCCUGAUAGCUAAACAUGAAGGUUCUUUCUAUGGUUAUUAUCAAAUUAUUCAUGUACCUCCUAACUCUUCUAAAAUAACAUUUGCCUCCAUACUCUUCGGAGGGAAAUUGGAUUGCCUCCCUUCUUGAAACAGGUGUUAUAUUUUGAAGUCAUGUGUGAUCCUUUAGAUGCUUUGAAGUCAUGUCCAAUGAUAGAAGAAGUAAAGGAAGGGGUGACAUGUGUUAUAUUUUGAACACGAGGGAAAAUGCCAUUCAAAAAGAUCAUCACACACGUAUAUUAGAACAUUGAAUGAGCAUGAUCCUUUGGAUGCUUUUUAGUUGUCUCCAAAGUCAUUUUACUUACAGGUGUGAAUGCUCUAUGAAUAAACUUCCUCCUUGCUUGUAGUGGAAAUGUGUUUACCUUUUUUUUUUUUUAUGCCUAAACUGCUACCUUGGACUGGAUUGCUAGCUUGUUAAAGGACUCUUUACAUCUUAUAAUAGUGUUUCAACUGUUAGAUGCUGAUGAAACUAUAUGAUAUGUUCUCACUGAAACAUGAGAAUAUCUGCUGCUUCUGAUAAAAUUUCAGAUAUACAAAGGUAAGCUCACCGAUGGCACUAUUGUUGCUAUAAGAAGCUUGCAAAUGAGAAGGCGCCAACGAAGCCAAUCAUAUAUGCACCACAUUGAGCUGAUUUCAAAGCUUAGACACAGCCAUUUGGUUAGUGCACUUGGACACUGCUUUGAGUGCUUUCCAGAUGAUUCAUGCGUCAGCAGAAUAUUUCUUAUAACUGAGUCCAUACCAAAUGGGACACUAAGGGGCUGCAUCUCUGGUAAAUGAUUGACCAUUACUUAUAUUUUGUAGUUGUUCAUAUCAAGUGAAUAAUAUAUAAUCUUGGUGGAGAAAUCCCUGUUCAUUGGCUCUUCAAACUUCUCUGUGAUUGUUCAUGAAGCCUAUAAGGACUGUGCUCCAUUGUAUGACAUCUUUCAAACAGCUGUUAGAUUGGGGCAUUUCUUACAGCUGCAUGAAAAGACUGAAAUCAUAUGCAAUAAGGAAUAUGUUUCCUCGAAUUGAAAUGAUUUCAGUCUGCUAUGACUAGACCAGGAAAUUAAUAGCAACAUAUACGUGAUUCAUUUUGGGCUAUUGGACCUGUCAUUAAAUUUGUUUGACUGGAUGAGAUUUUGAGGUCAAAACUAGAAGAUAACAGAUGAACUUUUUCUGGACCAAUGCCAUAUUGUUCUAAUCAUUAUGAAGAGUGAUGUCUCAGACACCUAGUGUUGUAUAUUGUGCAGGGACUGUAUGCAAUAUCUUAUUAUUACUGUUUUCCUUUUUUUUUUUUGUUGGUUUUUUCAUUUUUGACACUUGGAAUUGGCAGGAAAUCGAAGACAAAGGCUUAAUUGGACACAAAGGAUAGCAGCUGCCAUUGGAGUUGUGAAGGGUAUUCAGUUUCUUCAUACUGGGAUUGUGCCUGGUUUAUUUUCAAACAAUCUGAAAAUAACAGAUGUUUUGUUGGAUCAUAAUCUUCACGUCAAAAUCAGCAGUUAUAACCUCCCUUUGUUAGCCGAAAGUAGGGAACAGGUGGGGCAAAUCUGUACUUCAUAUAGCUGGAUAUUUUUUCCAUUAAAGCAUAUACUCUGAGUUGAUAGCUUGCUUUGUAAGCCUUUCAGGUUGGUGUUGGUGUUUCUUCUUCUGGACUAAAAGGAAAUGCACAGGCAAGGUAUGACUGAUUUUCUUUUUUCUUUUUCUCAUGGUGCUUAAGUCAGUGUAGUAAAACUAAUAAUUAUAAGGAGAAUGUUAUUUGGCCACCAACACUUUAGAAAACUUUCUUUGUUGUUGAGAUUCCAGAGGCAUGACCCCAAACAAUUGAGCUACUCGUUUGUGUCAAAAGAUACAUCUUGAAUUCAAUUGAAUAUGUAGGAUCAUUGGGGGUAAUUUUGUUCUCUUUAGAGCCAUAUAUACAACAACAAUCUUAUAACAUCAUGUUUUUUUAUUGCAACCUCAACUUCUAAUUCUUGGUAGCCUUCCUUUCUUACCUUUUGAACAAAUUGGUCCAACCCCUGCCUUCUGAGGCAUCUAUUUUAGUCUUUGUUACUGUCACUCAUCAAUCUCAAGUUUCUAAUUUCUGUUACAAAUAUGUUUAUGACCUGCUGUUUCUCCGGUGAUCAGUAGAAAAAAAGAAAAAAAACUCAUAAGGUAAAGCUUGACUUAUCUAUCUCAUAAAAUUCCUACGUAACUUGAUAGAUAUUGAUGGUCACGAGAUACUCCAAAAGCAUUUUUGGCUUCAUCUGUCUUGUUUUAUUCUAUGGGUAGUCAUUUAAUCUUGUUUCACUCAUGAAAGAUUCAGAGUAUCAUGAAUGUUAGCAUCCUUUCGUAGCUCUCUCUCUCUCUCUCAUAGAUUCACACUUUACACUCUACAAUCAGGUUGCCAUUCUCCACUUUCCACAUGUGUUGUUUUUCUAAGCACCCACAAUUUGGAGUACAAUGCAGUCAAAAGUGAAACAUGGACAGAAUUACUAAAUAUUUUGUAUCAUUCUUUUCCAAUGCAGAGCUGCAGUGGUAUAUUUCCUUUUUAAAAAAUCAAUGAGCGUGGGGUGGCAUGCUAUUCUUUGAAAAUUGCCUCAACAAUUAUAUCAGAUAUUUCUUUGAUUAUAUUCUCAAAUUUUCUACGGCCAUUUACAGGGGCAAAGAUGGGGAUAAGAAUGAUGUCUAUGACUUAGGAGUAAUAUUACUCGAAAUCAUUGUUGGAAGGCCAAUCACUUCCAAAAAUGAUGUAGUUGUUGCAAGGGAUCUUGUAAGUGUUCUUUUGGCCACAUUAUUCAAUAUCUUUUUCUGUCAGAACCCUUUUCUUAUCUGGGCAAUGGUCAAUUUCCUUGACAUGGCAUUGACCAACCGAGCAAAUAUAUGUUAGAGCUAUGGCAAGUGAUGUUACAUGGUUGCUGAAUCAUGACAUUGAAUUCUUUUUGGUCUCGGUGCAGUUAAUAGUAGGCAUGAAAGCUGAUGACAUAGCCCGAAAGACUAUAAUGGAUCCUGCAGUUGGUAAGGAGUGGUCAGGUGAAUCAAUCAAGACGCUGAUGGAGAUCUGCAUCAGAUGUCUGCACAAUGAACCAAGUGAGAGGCCUUCAGUUGAGGAUGUCCUUUGGAACUUACAGUUUGCAGCUCAGGUUCAGGAUUCAUGGAGGGGAGAACCCCAGAGCAAUCUUCAGUCACCUGACUUGUCUUCACAAUGAGUGUAAUCCUAGGAGCCUGUAGGAACAUAUUGCUUUUGCCUUUUUUGGAGCUUGUUCAAAAGAUCGGAUCAGUUUCAUCCAAACCAACUUCUGUUGACCUGAUCAUUUGAAAUAGCCUUGAAUAAAAGGAGGUUCAAGAGGAUUGAUUAAGUAACAAUUUGAUAUGGCAUAGAGCCUUAAUUUUGAGAAGUGCUUUUUCCCUGUCUAACAUGCCCUUGGCAUAUGAAGUAAGGUGUUAAAGUGUUCGAGGAAUUAAUAUAAUAUUAGUAGUCUAUUACCUAAAAGUUUGAACUUUUCGGUCAACUGUUAAAGAAAUAGGGAGAAUUAGGCCCUCUUUGGCAACCGAUGUUUGAAAACAAUUUUCUAUUAUCCAAAAUAUAAAAACUGGAAAACACGUUUGAUAAUAAAAAAUAUAUAUAUAUAAAAUGGUUCUCUAUUCUUAAAAAUAAGAAAUUUUCAAAGAACAUCUUUUAAUUGUUUUAAGUUGUUUUCACUUAUUUUCUAAAGAACGUUUUAAAAAAUAAUAUAUAAAUAUGGAGAAUGAUUAAAAAUAAAACAUUACAAAUAUAAGUUAUUUUUAAAACAUAUUUAAAAAUAUAAGAAAAAUGUUAACAACAUUAAAAAUUUCAAAACAUUUUUUUUUUCUAAAAAAAAUUAGAAAAUAAUUUUAAAAAAUAAUUUUAAAAACUUGUUAUUAAGCUAAAAGCAAGGAAAUGGAAGAAAAUAAAACCCUUUCUCAUUAAACAAAAAAAUUAAAUUAAAAAUACAAAGACAAGCUAUAUAAAGAGCUUAAUAACAACUCAAUAACAGUUGUAACAAAAUAACAAAAAAAAGUUGCAACAAACAAAACGACAACAAACAAAAUAUGUACAUGACCUAAUACUCUCCCUCAAAAUGGACUGAGAAUGUCCUUUACAACCAUCUUGGAUAAAAAAGGAAACAACAAAGAAGAAAGCAAAACUUUGGUAAAAACAUUAGCUAGUUGAAGUUGAGAGUGAAGAGGCAUUACCUUGAUGAAACCAUCAGCAACUUUAUCACGAACAAAAUGACAAUCGAUCUCGAUAUGUUUGGUCCUCUUAUGAAAAAAAAGAAGAUUAAAAGCAAGAUGAAUGACAACUUGAUUAUCACAAAACAGAAGUGUAGGAAAGGAAAUAGGAACUUGAAAGUCCUUCAGCAAUUGGCGUAGCCAAACCAAUUCACUAGUAGUAGAAACUAAAGCCUUUACGGAGGAUCGAGAAACUGUGGUUUGGUUCUUAGCUUUCCAAGAGACCAAAGAAUUACCAAUAAAGAUGCAAAAACCAGUGACACAUUUUCUAGUAUCUAAACAAUAGCCUCAAUCAGCAUUUGAAAAAGCUUUCAAUUGGAGAAAAAAUAAAGAAGAAAAGAAAAGGCCUUGACCAGGAGUGGACUUAAGGUAUAGUGUAAAAGAUGAUAAACGACUUGCAAGUGGAGUAAUCUAGGUAGAGCUAAAAACUAAGUUUAUGGACAACAAAAGUAAUAUCAGGCCAAGACAAGGUGAGAUACAGAAGACGACCAAUAAGCCUUCAAUAUUGUGAAACAUCAGAAAGAACAACACCAUCAUGAGCUUUCAGUUAAACCUUAAGAUCCAUAGGAACAUAUGUAGGCUUACAAGCAAGAUACCGAGUGUCUUCAAGGAGUUGCAGCGUGUGAUGCCUGUGGCAGAUUGAGCGAUUUCAAGUCCAAGAAAAUAUUUAAGACAUCCCAAAUCCUUGAGCUUAAACUGAGUAUGAAGAAAAGUUUUCAAAGCCUGGAUCACUUGAGUGUUUGGACUAGUGAUGAUGAUAUCAUCCACAUAGACUAAUAAAGCAACAAAUGAAGAUCCAAAUCCUUUGGUAAACAAAGAAUGAUCAAACUUGGAUUAGACAAAGCCAUAUUGGAGAAGAAUAUGAUAAAAUUUGGAGUACCAUUAUUUGGAGGCUCGCUUGAGACCAUAGAUUGACUUAUGAAGCUUACAAACCAAUCCAUUCUCCUGUUUAAUAGUCUCCUUCUAUUUACCAUAAGGAAGAAGAAGAUCCACAUAAACUCCUUCAAAUGGCAUUGUUCACAUCAAGUUGAACCAAAUGCCAUUUUUGACUUGUGGCAAAAGCCAACAAAACUAACAGUAACCAACUAUGCUACAGCAGAGAAAGUCUCAAAGAAAUCCAAGCCUUCUUAUUGAGUAUAGCCCUUAGCAAUUAACUGGGCUUUAUUUAAUGGUGAAACAUCACAAUGUAAAUGAUUUUUCAAAGCAUCUAAACAUUUGAAAGAAAGAUGGCCAAGUCUAUUGUGCCAUACAUGAGCUGAAAAAUUGUUCACAAAAAUUGUAGAAGCAGACUUCAAUGUAUCUGUAUCAAGAAUAUAAAGAUCUUCAAACUUGUCACCCCUUCCAAUCAUCUUCUUGGUGUUGAGUUCUUGAAUAAUGAAGCAAGUAAGAAGAAAGUUAACUGUAAGCUGGAAACUACAAGUAAGAGCACUCAUAGAAAUCAAGUUAAACUUGAACUGGAGAACAAAUAAGACAUCCUUGAGGGUGAGCUUGGAACUUAAUGUAACAUCACCACAUAAACUAACAGGAAUCUAAAUAUGAUUGGGCAAAGUAACAAUAUAAUUUUGUAUAGGUCUAAGAGAAACAAAGGUAGUAGCACUAGAACAUAUAUGUCUUGUGGCACUUGAAUCAACUAUCCAAAAUUGAGUGGAGGAAAAUAUAGGAUUCAGAGAAAUUGAAAGACAAAUACCUGCAUUGUAAGAAGUAGUUGGAGUAUCCUAAUGGUCAUUAUUUGGCUUAAUAGAUAAAGCUAAAUGAGUAGAAAACAUAGAAAAAAGUUGCUAAUAUUGAUUAGGAUUAAGAUUCUGAAUGAAAUCUCUAACACCACCUAGUUGAUUAGUCUUGACAGUAGAUUUAGAGAAUGACUAGUUUGAUACUUGAUUAACAACAAUGUUAUUGUUGGAAUAAGUAGGAUUAUUCCUCUGCCUAGGUUUGUAAUCAAAUGGACAUCCAUGUAUUUUGUAACAUUUAUCAAUGGUAUGACCAUGAAAGUUGCAAUGAGUAUAGAAAGGUAUAUUUUUUUCUGUCCUUUAUAAUCUCUAGAAGCCUUAGAAUUAUCAGUCUUAACAACAAAAGCCAUGGUUCCAGUAGAAUCUAAACUAGUAUUAAUAUGGUUACCAAUUUUCUUCUAAUGUUCAUUUUGAGAAAUUAAGGAAAACAUUUUAUUUAUAGGGGGUAAAAUAUCCAUAAGAAGCAACUGUCCUUUGACUUGAGGAAAUGAGUCAUUUAAUCCGAUAAGAAAAGACAUGAUAUAUUUCAUUUGAUAGUGAGAAUGGAGAUUCUUCACACCACCACAAGUGCAUUUACUACAAGUAUAAAUUGGCCUAUAAUUGCUCAAUUUCUCCCAUAUAGUCUUCAGUUUAGUAAAAUAUGCACUAACAAAGUAAUGAUCUUGAACCAAAUUCAUCAAUUCAUGUCUUAAUUGAAAAUUUCUAAGUCUAUUCCUCUGUUGAAAGCAAUCUUUGAGAUUAAGCCAAAUCUCUCUAGUCAAAUCAACAAAUAUCACACUAGUAGAAAUCUCCUUAGAAAUAGAGUUUAAGAUCCAAGAGAUAACAAUAUUGUUAUUCAUAGUCUAAGAAUGAAAAAAAUCUAGAUUAGUACUUUUGGGUUUGACGAUCGAUCCAUCAACAAAUCCUAGUUUAUUCUUCACAGACAAAACAAUCAGUAUCGAUCUACUCUAGGAGGCAUAGUUAUCUCUAAUGAGAGGUUACAAAACAAUAACAAGUCCUGGACUAUUUGAAUGAUGAAGAAACUAAGGACUAGAAAGUUCAUCAAUGGUAGAUUUGUUUAAAGAUGACCUAGAAUGAUUCAUGUUUUUAGAUGAUGGAGUCUCCAUAACAAUUGAAAAAAAAAAACAACAAUACUCAACAAUUUUGAAGAAAAACGAAGAUCAGAAGAAUCAGAGAUGAGAAAUUGUAGCAAAUUGUAUCAAAGCUCUGAUACCAUAUUAAGCUGAAAGUAAGAAAAUGGAAGAAGAGAAAACCCUUUCUCAUUGAACAAAAAAACUGAAUUAAAUAUACAGAGACAAAAAUUAUAUAAAGAGCUUAGUAACAACUCAGUAACAACUUAGUAACAAUUGUAACAAAAUAACCAAAAAAAAAAAAAGUUAUAAUAAACAAAAUAUCUACAUGACCUAAUACUUGUUUGUCAUAAUUGUUUUACAAAACACUUUCUAAACAAGCAAUGAUUUAAAGAUAAUCUUCAUAGACUUGGAACUGUUGACCACACUGUGGGACCUAGACAUGGGUGUGCUUAACAUCCUGUAACAACUCCAAUGACCAACUCAGCUCUCAUAGAUCUUAUCGGGCAUAUACUUAGUUGAGAAUCAUAGUGCUAAUUGUAGAGGGGCACUUGGCAAACUACCAGAGGACCAUGUGUUGUCCAAGUUGGCCAAUAUGUAACUAAAGCUUAGGCCACCACAUUUCCAACACUUCUUCACCAACAAGAUUUAAUCUAGGAAUGUUCAAAUUUGAGGUAAAACACUUCUCUUCUAGAUCCAAAGUUUUCAUAUGCAUAUAUGCUUCCGCUGCUAGGAUCUAGAGAAGUCCUAAGAUUAUUAGCAUAUACCUUAACUAGAUCAGAGAUGAGAAUGUUGUAAUCUAGGUUCCCCUACACCAUUUUCUACAAACCCAUCCUGGAUUUUUUUUUUUUUUUUUAGUUUACAUGAUUUAUGAAUUUUACUAUUCAUUGGCAAUAAGAAUGCAUCUAGUAUAUCAUGUAAAUACAUUAGUGAUAUGUUAACAUAAAAACCUAUAUGGUAAGAUAAGAUAUUAGCAUCUAACACUAUUUACACUUGUCAUAAGAAGUAGGUAUGACAAAUAUGUGUUAAACUUAUAAUGCAAGUACACUAAAACUAUGAUGCAUUAUAACAUGGCCUAAUUUUUAUUUUUAUUUUAACAAUUAUUAACAAUUUUUUGUUAUGAUAAUAUUCUCUUGAUAGUUACAUUGUGAAAUUGUUAGCAAGCCUUCACAUAGCUAUUCUUGGUGUUCACUUAAAUAGUUUGGGAACACAAGCAUAUUCUAGAAAGAUUAUUGCAAUUAAUUCUAACAACCUAACUCUAUAGCAUGAGCUAGUCAUCACCCAUGGUGAUCACAAGCAUAACUAAAGAUUUGUUGUAACCUCCCAACAUUUUUCUCCCUUGUCCAUAUCAAGGAAAAAAUAAACAAAAAAACAUUCUCCUUGUUGAUCCUAAUAUUUUCUUCUCUCACCUACUUGCAUAUUGUUCUCUUCAUAAGUUGUUCUAUUUUGUGAAUUCAAACCCUAAGAUUAGGUAUCUAAGAGUAUGUUGUCUUGAGUUCAUUUCCAUAGUAGACACCUACCCAGAAACUAACUUUAAAGGAUGAAAUUGGUCUAAAGGACAAUUAAUUACUAUGUCUGGACUUCUUUAAAUCAUUUUCUUUCUCAAUCUUUUUUACUAUUAGUAUUCAUUUUCGUUAAACCUAUUGAAUAAAUUCAAUACUCUUGUAUUCAAAGCACUACAUUUCCAAUGCUGAAACGGGUUUUGGGAUCGAGCUUUUCCCUAUGCUUCAUGCAACACCUAUACAAUAAAGUUUAUUUUUGACAAAUUUUCCUAUGAUAGACACUAAUGAUUUUGUCACUCCCCUUUCUUUUGAAAAAGAUUUAUCUACUUAGGUCUCUAUCACUACUACUAUAUUUGAGAAGGUUCCGAUUGUUAUACUGAGGAGAUGCUUAUGUCUAUGUCAAUUGAAACAUCUCUUAACCUUACUAAAGGAGUUGAGUUUCAAGCACUAAAUUCAUUGCUUAUGUUUAUUGGGUUGGAUAAGGUAUAAGACAUAGUCGUGCUUCAGUUAACCAAGGAUGGACACAAUUUUAAAGGGUAUAGAGUUAAUGAUUUAAGAGGGUAAACUAGUUGACUGUGGCUAUGCAAUAGCUCCAGUCAUUGAUUGAGGAAAUGGACAAUCAUAUGAAGGAAAUGUUUUAAGUAAAGGGUAUGUAUAUAGAUGAGUUAUUUGAGGAGGGAGGAUUCUACAAUUGCAACUUGAUUUUGGAGGUUGACCAAAACAAGAUAUUUUCUAAGACUUUAAUUGACAUUUAAAGGGACCCUUAGGAGACUCUAGAAACAUUCAAGGAGAUGGAGACUUCCACUAGAAAUAUUUAGCUACGUAUUGAGACUUCAUUGAUUCCCCCUAGCUUGGAGCCCACUUUUAGACCAAUUCUAGUUUAUACCAAGGUUCCACCUAUGUGACCAUUAUUGUUGCUAUUUAUCCUUCAUUAGUUGGGAGAAUAUGAUUUUAGAUUUUUAUUUUGAUUGUUAUUUUUUUUUUUUUUUUGGAUUUGUCAUACUAUAUACUUGGUUACAUUUUGGUUUAUUUGGGAUUUGUCAUACUAUUAGUGGUAAGUUGAGUUGUAGCACUUUGGAUAUGGCAUAAAUGCGUUUAAAUUGUUUUAUUGCUUAUAUUAAACUCAUUGAUUGUUGCUAAUUCAAAACAAAAUCAACUUUUAUCAUCAAAGAAUUGAAACAAAAAAUGAAAGAUUAAUCAAAUUCAUAUUUAAAUUAAUCAAAAUUUGAAAUUCAGAUUUAACAUUCAAAUUCAAAUCAUAAGGUCUUAUUUAGAUUAUUCCCAAUCUUUAUUUUUUGAUUCAAUUACCUAUGUAUCAAUCCAUCUUUUAAGAUUCAUGUUAAUCUCGUGCACAAUCAAUCAAAUAAGUUAUUUAAUGAUUAAGUGAUGAUUAAUCGUUAUUAGACCAAGUAAACAUUGAUUGUCUAUUGAUUAAAAAAGAACAACUAAAAAACAUCUUAAUCAAAUCAAAAUAAAACUUGAAACAAGAGUGAGAGUGUAGUAUUAUCACCAAUUUAUGCCUGUCUAUAGUGAUAUAUGUUUAACUUUCUUGAUCCUUUCUUUAAAUGAAAAGUAAUCAACCUCUCAUAGUAGAAGAUCUCUUGUCAAAAAUCAUGUUUAGUUGACAAGAAAAUAAAAGUGGAGGAAAACUAAGAAAAUAUGAAAUGCAAAUGGUAGAAAUAUCUACAACAAUGUUUCUCCAAAAUCUCUAAAGUUGGAAAAGAAAUUCAAAUGAUAACCACCUAAAAGAAAAAGAAAAAAAAAACAGAAACAGGAAAAAAAAAUGAAUGAAUAGAAAGAUCGAAUUAUUAUAGUAAAUUCAAUCGAAAAGGAGCAAUCCUCAUCUAACCAAACAUGCCACAUAAUCAAGUAGAAUCAUAGUAAAAAUCUAAGCAAAAAUUAUUUUUGGAGGGUUACAACUCAAAAACAUAAAUCAACUAUUCAAAUCAUUUAUUUUGAUUUCUCUUGUAGAUGAAAUCAAAAUAUUUGAUUUCCCCAAGAGGUUAGUCAACUUUUGCCUCUCUUCGAGCAAUCAAUCCCUAAUAAUAAUAAUAAUAAUAAAAAGCCUAUGUGAGCCUCUCCUAAAUUACAAGAAGAGCAAAAAUGAUGGGUAAAGGAUUAGUUUACUUUGUCUAAGAUGAAUUUGAUUUAAGGGUAUAGCUCACUCAACUUAGCUUCAUGGGAUGGCAAUUUGAAUUUUGAAAGCUACAAGUUGAAAAUAGCAAAAUAUAACAAACAUCUAAGGCCUUUUGAAAAGCUAAAAGGGGUUGUACAAGGGAGAUUGUUGAUGAUACUAAAUAGUUUUAACAUCAUUUUCUAUAGAGAGGUAGAAAGGUAAAUGGGUCUUCAAUUUCCUUUCAAGAGAAUUGUCUUAUUCAACAAUCAAACUUUCUUGGAAGUAAGUUUUUCUAUGACUAGGAACUAGCAAUGUUCACUUCCACGUUGGGGAAGACAACAUUGAACACAUGAUGGAGAUGAAGAAAUUGAGCUAGAUUUAAAUUGCCUACCAAGGUGAGAUAGUAUAGAGAUUUGAUGGAAACCACUCAAUGAGCACAUGGAUACAAGGGUUUGAUGUUGAAUCGGAAAAACUCGUUUAACUCGAUCAAAUUCCUUAGAUGCCUUAAUUGUCCUAUUUAUUUUCUUUGAUGGCAGACAACGAGUCUAAUACAUCUCUAUAAUUCACAUGGGUGGGUGACCAAUGCUGCAACAAUGCCUCUACCUCUAUAUUUGCUCUUUUUUUCUUUUUGUUUGAAAUUUUGGAUUUGUAAAAGUGAGCAAUUAGGAAUGGAUUUAGCAAAUUUUGACAUGUAUUCCUUGAAAAUGAAUCCCAAUGAUGAAUGACACCUAUAGGGACAUAUAUUAUCUUUUCAUUUGAAUCCUCACAAUUUAUAUAUCUCUCUUCCAAUCACUAUUCAACAAAGGAUAAAAAACGUAAGCAAAAAUAAAUACAACAACAAUCUCUCAACAAUCUAUCAAUGAAAAUCACAUACAAAUGCUUCAACACUUCCCAAGAUUAAUUCAUAAGACUAAUUAUCUCCCAAAUACAUUUCCAGUUACUACUUGAUAUCAUUAAUAAUAUGAACAUAAAAAUUAUUCAAGAAUAUACAAAAGGUAAUCAUACUAAUUUCAGCUCAUAUUUCAUUCUUUCAACAAACAUUCUCAAGUAAUAGAGGAUAACAAAAAUUGGACAUAAAUCAAAGAGUAGAAUUAAAGCAACAAAGACAAUGGUAACAUAUUUUACGUGAAAAUCUCCUAAGAGAUAAAAAAAACCAUGGGCCUACCAAUAAUAAAAAAUUCCACUAUGAAGAACAACCAAUGUGUACAAGGAUUUACCUAGAUUUAAGUCCACUAAUCUUUCAUGGAGUACUUGACCAACAUCUUCUUGCUUAGAAUUUUGAAUUUCUUCAUUCCCUUAUCUUAGAUCCUAUAGGUGCAUGCAAAACUACCCUAGGCCUCUAGAUCCUAUGCAACGGAAACAAAAAACAUAUUUUUACUAUUCUAAGAUCAAGAGAAAAGUCGUUAGAUGACUUUACCUUUGAUUUGGAUGUUCGUAAAUCAAUUUCACUCGAUGAAAAUGAAGAACAAUGAAUCUAGAAGUCUCGUACACCCAAGAUCUUCUGCUUGAUGACUUGAACCAUGAUCUUGGCACACCAAAGUAUGGGCUUUGGAAGAGAGAAUCACUUGACUCUCACUAUCUCUUUCUUUCUCUGGAGGUGGAAGACAAAGUCUCUCUCAAGAUUAUGGAAACCCUAGCCCCUAUAGGGCUAUUUAUAUGGUUCCCUUACUAGGCUUAAGUGACUUAAGCCCACCAAGGCUUGGGUCACUUAAUCUAGCCCAAAAUGGGUUUUAAUUGAUUAAUUAACCAUACAAGGCCAUCUAAUUAAUCAAUUAGCCAAAUCUAGAGAACUUGUUCACCAUCUCUUAUGCAACUUUACGUAAUUAUCAAAACACCCUUAUACACAAUAAUGAACCAAGAGCUAGUUCAACUAUCAUAAAUCGUGUCAUCAUGGUAAAUGAGCUUAGAACGGGGGCCACUAAGACCUAAUAAGUACUAGCUCCCUUAUAAUCCAAUUCUAAAGUUGAUUCAACAUUCCACUAAAGAGAAUCAAUUGCACUCUAGUAUCCUAUGUAAAUAACAAUGAGACAAAGCUUGAAAUCUGUGACCUACUAUCCAUGGCAUGCAGACUCCCCAUGAAUAGGUGUCCAUAAUCUAACAAGGUAGUACUAUCACUUAUCAAUAUUACAUCUUCAAUCCUUGAGUUACAAAUCUCACUUAUUAUGUGAUCAACUGACAUACUCUAGAUUCAAAGAGCACAUGGCAAAUUCCACUAAAGGAAUUAUUAUGGCCACAGAUUUCAUGAUCAUAUGUCCUUUGGAUCACCCAAAGAGACACACUAUCUCAAUCCAUGAGAUAUCAUGGUGCCUCUAUUGAGAAUACCUAUUGCCACCAACCUCCAUCAACAGUGACCCAAUCCAUAGGGAUAUAUGACUACUUUACGGUCUUACCCAUAGGUUAAAGCUUUUUGUUAACUUUGGUACAAGCUCAAUAUUCUCUCAAGGUUGAGAGCCUAUGCAGUAUGCUUGGUGAAUCAUGACAAUUGAUAGCCUUGAGUUAUGAUUCAUAACCUUGUGUCAUGAUUCAUCGUAAGUUCUGUCUAAUGCACAUCACAUGCACUAGUACACUCACCAUGGGAAAACCAUCUUGACAAUCAAAACAAGUCAUCCUUCCAACUAGGAUGUAGUGCAUUACAGUCUUAGAUGGAUAACCUAAAUCCAUGAACUGACUGUGGACAACUCAUCACUCUACAAGGAACCCAUAACUUGGAUCUCUUGUGCAACUCCUAAUAUACCCAAGUCAUGUACAAUGUAAGUGAUAUGGGGUAUAUAUGUUCAAAUAACCAAUUAAUACAAAUGAGAUAUGUAAGGGAAACCAAGAAAUAUAAAUAAAUAAAUUUAUAAAUGAAUCUCAAUCUAUUACAUCAUGUCAUGCUUUCUAGGGCUCAAUCCUAACAAACUCCCACUAGCCCUAAAGCAUUCUAGGAACACAUUUGACACCUAAGCUAUCCCUAUGACGAUCAAAGACUCUAAUAAAUAAAGUCUUUGUAAAGGGAUUCGUCAAGUUCUCUGUAGAAGCGAUCUUCUCUAUAGCCAUAUCUCAUCUCAUUACUAUCUCACGUAUCAAGUGAUACUUCCUCUCAAUGUGCUUACCCUUUCGAUGGUUUAUUGGUUCUUUAGAUUGUGCCACCGCCCCCACUAUUGUCACAAAAUAGUACCAGGGGCGGUAUAGCCAAGGGCACUACCCCAAGUCCCAAUAAGAACUUCUAAAGCCAAACAACUUCUUUUGUUGUUUCAAAAACAGCAACAUACUCGGCUUUCAUAUUGGAGUUAGCAAUGCAAGAUUGUUUUACACUUAUUCAACUAACAACCCCACUACUUAGAGUAAACACAAAAUCCGAAGUAUACUUGAGAUAGUCUUUAUCAUAUUGAAAGUCCGAGUUCGUAUACCUAAGAGGUAACAACUCAUCGCAAUGAUACACCAACAUAUAAUCCCUUGUUCUUCGAACAUACUUGAGUAUAUGCUUGAUUGUCGUCCAAUGCUCCAUGCCUGGAUUGGACUGAUAUCUACUCACUAUCCCUAUAGCAAAGCGAAUAUAUGGUUUAGUAUAUUACAUCUCACACAGAAGGUUACCCACCGCAGAAGCAUAGGGUAUUACCUUCAUGUGAUCUUUCUCCUCAGUUGUCUUAGGACACUGAUCCUAAGAAAGAAGCAUUCCAUGCUUAAAGAGUAGCAGACCUUUCUUAGAGUCUUGUAUCACAUACUUGACCAAAAGCUUAUCAAUGUAGGUGACCUAAUACAACACAAUCUUUCUAUUCUUGUGAUCCCAAAAUAUCCUUAUCCCAAGAAUAUAUUGUGCCUCACCCAGACCUUUCCAUUUGAAACUGAGUAGAUAACCAGAUCUUGACUAGCUAAAAUAACCCUACAUCAUUCCCAAUGAGUAAAAUGCCACCAACAUACAAGACCAAAAACACCAUCAUGUUUCCCUACGUCUUCUUGUAUACACAAGACUCAUCCUCAUUUUGAUCAAAAUCAAGAGUUUGAUAGCCUGAUCAAAAAGCCUAUUCCAUGAGCGAGAUGUUUGCUUUAAUCUAUAAAUGGAUUUAUGUAACUAGCAUACAAGGUGCUCUUGGCCCUUUUCUAUGAAUCUGUUUGGUUGCAUCAUAUAGAUGUUCUCUUCAAGAUCACCAUUCAAGAACAUUGUCUUGAUAUUCAUUUUCCAUAUCUCAUAAUCGAGAUGUGCUGCAAUGGACAAGAGUAUUCUAAUGGGCUUGAGCAUGGCUACUGGUACAUUUUCUCAUAGUCAAAACCAGGUUUUUUACUAUAACCCUUUGCUACCAGCCUAGCCUUAUACUUCUCAACUUUUCCAUCUACCAUUCUUUUCCUCUUAUAAACCCAUUUACACCCUAUGGGUUUUGUCCCUUCAGACACUUCUUCAAGAUCCCAAACUCCAUUAGAAUACAUAAAUUCUAACUCUGUCUCCAUAGCUCCUUGCCAAAUAAUAACAUCAUCAUUGUUCAUUGCUUCAUUGUAAUUUAUGGGAUCGGUCUUAUGUUUCUCUAGAAUUGCCUUGAAAGACUCUCCUAAAUACAUGAACCUAUCUAGUUGCAUAACAAUUCUCCCAUUACGACGAGGCAUUGAUGUACUAGAACUAACUAAAAUGGUAGGUGUAGGAAUCUCUGGACCCAUAGUCCCCUAUGCUAAUGUGGGAGUGUCUUCAAGUGCUUUCCAAUCUAUAUCACAUCUUGUCCUAUUACUCAUUAUAUAGUCCUCUUCCAAAAAUUAGACAUUUGUACUAAAAAAUACCUUUGCGGUCGACUUGACUAUAAAAGUAAUGUCCUCUUGUUCCUUUUAAAUAGCCUUCAAACUGACAUACCUCAAACCUUUGGUUUCAACAUGUGUACUGGACACCCCCAAAAGUGAAUGUGUUGCAAAUUGGGUUUACGACCUUUCCACAUCUCUCUAGGAAUUAAAGGUACCGACUUAGAAGACACUAGGUUGAGAAUGUGUGUUGUAGUUUCCAAGGAAUAUCCCUAAAAUGCUAGAAGAAGUGAUGAGAAACUCAUAAUAGAUUUCACCAUGUCCAUCAACGUUCGAUUUCUUAUUUCUGCUACUCCAUUUUGUUGUGGAGUUCUAAGUGCACUCAACUGGGAUAUAAUCUUGUGCUCCGUGAGGAAAAAAUUGAACUGAGUAGACAUGUACUCUCCGCCUUGAUAAGAUCGAAGUGCCUUGAUACAUUUAACCAAUUGGUUUUCUGAGUCCACCUUAAAUUCAAUGAGUUUGUCAAAGGCAUCGGACUUCCUAUGCAUCAAGUAAACAUAUCCGAACCUAGAGUAAUCAUUUGUAAGCAUGAUGAAGUACUCAUAUCCUCCUCGUGCAUGGACAUUAAAAGAUCCCCACACGUUAAAAUGCACAAACUCUAAACACUCCUUGACUCUAUAUCCUUUAGCAGUAAAGGGUCUUUAGGUUAAUUUUACUUUUUAUAUAGGAUUUGUAGACUGGAAGAUCCUUUGGAAUUAAAGGAGGUAAAAUUCCCCACUUAACCAGUCUUUGGAUCCUGUUUAGAUUAAUAUGACCUAGGCAUAAGUGCCAAAGUUGUGUUGGAUUAGUGUUAGAUUCCUUUCUUUUAUGUGAGAUAUGACAAUUUUCAUUACUUGGCAAAAUAGAUAAUGGAGAACACGAUAAAGACUAUCUAUCAAUGAUCCUGAGCAUAUAAACGAAUUAUUCAACUUAAUAAAAACCCAUUUUUUAUUUUUUAUUUUAAAAGAAUAAUUCAGCUUACAAAGACUAGAAAUCAAAAUCAAAUUCUUCCUAGACUCAAAAAUAUAAAGACAAUCUUUUAAUGCUAAGAAGACUAUUAUUAGAAAAAAUAAGGGUAACAUCUCCCACUACCUCCAUAACAAAUCUUGCUUCAGAAAUUAAUGUCAAGUACAUAUCCCCAUCAUUCAACAUUGUCCUUACCUAAAACCCCUGUAAUGAAUUACAAACAUGAUCAAUGGCUUUGGAAUAUAUACACUAAGAAUUAGUGCAAUCCAGCACUUAAGAAUUUUGUUCUAAAUUGCCAACCUAGCUAACACUCAUAAUCUUCCUUUUUGUCAAUUUUGGGGAAAAACCCUUUACAACACGAAUGAGUGCAAGCAAGCAAGCCCUAUCUACUCUCAUAUAAGGCCACUCGUUUACCUACUCAACCUCACAACCUAGGUACCACAAAACUUGCAUUUAAAAUUCACAAACAAUUAGUAACACCUACAUGAAACAAUUGAAUAUACACAAAACAAGUAUCUCAUAUCAACAUGUAUAUCUAAAAAUUCCAAAAGAAAUCUCACACGUAUAUGCAAUCCAAAAUAGACAAGAAUCAUCAAUAAUACCCCCAACUUGAUAUAAAUCCAAAAUAAACAAGUAUCUCAUAUCAAAAAAAAAGAAAAAAAAAUACAAUAAUCAUCAAUAAUAUCCACAACCUCAAUCUAUAAUGUAUCUCCCACUUUUUGUCCUAGAAGAAGAUAAAAAGUAGAAAUAGUCACCUGUAAGCAAGUAAAUAAGAUAGAAAAGUGGCAAAAAAAUGUCAAGUGUUCAUAAAUGGAAAUAAAGCAAAACUAAAUUAUCUAAAAUAUAUAUAUGUAUAUAAACUAGGGAAGAUGUUGAUGGAUGAAAUCCUCAAGAGCUUGGAGUUGAUCUAUGUAGCAAAACGGUUGUCCAUCAAUCACUAAGAAGCUUUUUUCCAUAUGCUGAUGAAGUUGUGAAAGCUGCCCAGAGAAAAAGGUGGAUUGUGCAAAAAUAAAAAAAAAUAAAAAAUUGUAUCUAAAGUAUCAAAUUUAACAAUCAAAUGAUCCAAGACACCAAAUCCUACAACUAAAGUGGUGUCAUCCUCACCAAUUGGGUCAUUUUCUCUUGGAUGACACAUUUUCUUCCUAGGACAAAUUGCACCCUUAGUUUGUCCAUUACUACGAUUCCCGAAAAAAAGUGUUAAUGGGACCCAUUGGUUUAAGAAAAUAUACAUUUAAAAGAAAACCCCAAAAUACAUUUGACAAAUUUAAGUGAUCAAAAUUCCAUAAUGAAGGACUACUUUCUUAGACAUUGAAAGUUCUUCCCCAAAGAUCGUUUCAUCUAUAAUGCAAGUGACAAGGUUAAGGGGUUUCUCGUGAAGAAUUCAAGGUAGGAGGAUUCUCCCCCAAAGAUCAUUUCAUCUAUAAUGCAAGUGACAAGGUUAAAGGGUUCCCUAUGAAGAAUUCGGGGUAGGAGGAUGUACCCUAUAUUUGCUUGAUGAGAAGAAUGAUAAAUUGAAUAUGACAAAAAUGUUGCCAAAAUCUAAGUUGGUUGAGAAAUAUUACUAGUAUGAAGUACAGUACCUAACGAAUCAUGCACCUCACCUCACAAAUCAAUUGAAACCUUGUCUAACUUUGUAGUGACUUCCAGAUCACUCAUAGAGGGUACAUCAACCAAUGGAAUGCCUAACACUUUUUAGCUACCACCUCUAGAUUGACCUCAACCAUUGUUCCAAAAAAACUUAAUAUAAAGUAAGAUUCACCUAGAUCAUGUUCAAUCAUAUUUGAAUAGAAUAGACAGACAAUCAGAGCACAACAACCCUAGUGAAAUAUGCUAGAAGAAUCCAAUCAAGUUUUAUUAACAAUGCUAGAACUAAUUUGUAGUAUCCUACUUUCAUGUAAUCUAUAAGGUUCAACAAACAAUUAAUAUUUCAAGAUCAAGGGUACUACAGUACUAUUUGUAGUAGUGAUCUUUAUAUAUCGUAUUAAUAAUCGAAAUAUGGUCAAAAGAAAAAAAAUCUCCAUUUGACAGGGUUUUUUCCUAUAUUAAGUCAUGAAUGAAAUGAUGUUUGAUGUCUAUGUGUUUUGUUCUAUAAUGAAGAAUAACAUUCUUAAAGAUGUUAUCGCACUAGUAUUCUCACAAAACACAACCAUGGUUCCUUGAUCUAUUCCAUAAUCUCUCAACAUUUGCUUGAUCCAUAGAAGUUAAGUACAACAACUAUUAGUGACAACAUAUUCUACUUCAACUAUAGAGAGUGAAACAGAGUUUUGUUUUUUGCUCAUCCAAGUAACCAAACAAUUUCCAAUAUAAAAGAAACCACCAUAAGUGUUUUUCCAAUCAUCAACAUUUCUAGCCCAAUCAACAUCAAUAUAGCAUGUUACAUCAAAAUGAGUGUCAGAAGGAUACCAAAGGCCUAACUUUAAAGUACCAGCAAUAUACCUAAUGAUGUGCUUAAGAACUAUGAGAUGGGAUUCCUUAAGACACGUUUGAUACCUAGUACAAGCUCCAAUGCUAAAUGUUAUGUUUGGUUUACUAGUUGUGAGGUACAAGAGGCUACCAAUCAUGCUCCUAUACAAUUUUUCCUCUACCCCUUUUCCAGAAUCAGCCUUACUUUAUUUUAUGUUGGUAGACAUUGGUGUCUUAUAGAGUUUUUUCGACUCAAGAUGGAACUUCUUGACAAGUUCCCUUGCAUACUAGGAUUGGGACAAGAAAAUCCUAUCCUUGAGUUGUUUCACUUGGAAGCCAAGGAAGUACAUUAAUUUCCCUACCAUGCUCAUUUCAAACUCACUUUUAAUCUCUUUGGCAAAACUUAAAGCACACUUACUAGAGGUAGACCCAAAAACCGUCAUCUACAUAAAUUUGUGCCACUAAGAACACUCUACUAUUUCUUCUAAUGAACAGUGUUCAGUCUGCUCCCCCUGUCAAGAAUCCUUUCUUAAGAAAAUAGGAUGUGAGUUUUUCAUGCCAAGCUCUAGGAGCUUAUUUCAAGCCAUAGAGAGUUUUUUUAAGACUAUAGACAUGGUGAGGGUACUUUGGGUCUUGAAAACAUUUGGGUUAAUCCACAUACGCUUCUUCAUUGAGGCUCCCAUUGAGAAAUAUACUAUUGACAUCCAUUUGAAACAAUUUAAAUUUUCACACACAAGCUAUAACCAAGAGUAUUCAUAUGCAUUCAAGUCUUGCAAUCGAAGCAAAUUUUUCAUCAAUAUCAAUUCCUUCAAUUUGCUUGAACCUUUGAGCAACCAACCUUGCUUUAUUUGUCAUAAUCACUCCAUUUUCAUCUAUCUUAUUUUUGAAAAUCCAUUUUGUUCCAGUGACAUUCAUAUCUUUUAGUCUAGGCACUAAAAACCAAACUUCAUUUUUAGAAAGUUGAUUUAAUGCCUCAUGAGGGGCCUCUACCUAAACAUCAUCAUUCAAGGCUACCUCAACAUUUUUUGGUUCAAUUUGAGAGGUAUAACAAACAUAACUUAUCUCAUUUAACUUGGAUUGUCUCCUUGUUACCAUGCUUUCCUCAUAAUCUCCAAUCAUAUUAUUCAAUGGAUGGUUCUUUAGCACCCUUGACCUAUUUUUCUUGGAUGGUUCAAUUCUCCCCUUAUCAACUUUCUCUCCUUGCUAUUUUCUCUUUUCUUCCUCUUCACUUAACCAUUUAUUUUCAGAUUUUUUUUUCAAUUAGAUAGAAAUCUUUUGAGACUUCAAUUCUAUCAUCAUCAAACUUUCUUAACUUUGAUCCUUGAUCAUCCACAAUCAUAUUGAAUAAUUCUACUAUACAUUUUGAAUUCAAAAUGUAUACAUUAUAUGCCCUACUUUUAGAAGAAUAUCCUAGAAAUAUCUUUUCAUCACUCUUGGUACUCAAAUUUAUUAAGAUUUUCAUGAUUUUUUAAGACAUAGCAUCUACUUCCAAACACCCUAAAGUACUACACACUAGGCUUCUUUCAUUUCCAUAGCUCAUAACAAGUCUUCCUAGUAUGAGGACAUAAGUGAAUCCUAUUGGAAGUAUAGCAAGCACUAUUAAUAGGUUCAACCCAAAAGUAUGUAAGGAGUUCAUGGUGAUUUAGCAUUGUUCGGGCCAUUUCUUGGAGGACACUAUUCCUUUUCUCAACUACUCCAUUUUGUUAAGUAAUUUUAGGAAUGGAAAACUCAUGUUUGAUUCCUAAAAAAAUUACAAAAUUUUAGAAAAUCAUAAUUAUCAAAUUCUUUUCUCAUAUCACUCUUAAUUCUUUCAGUUGGAUACCCUUUUUCAUUUUGAAUUUUCAAACUAGCAUCUUUGAAAUUUAUGAAAACCUCACUAUUUUCUCUUAGGAAUGCAACCCAUUCAUGCUUAGAGUAGUCAUCAACCAUUACCAAGUUGUAUUUCUUGUCACCUAAACUCUAAGUUCUCAUUGGUUUUAUGAGAUCCUUGGGUAAGAGUUCUAAGAUUUAGAGGUCAAAAUUUCAUCAACUCUCCUAUGAGUACUCCUAGUUUGUUUUCCCUUUUGAUAAGUACCAUAACUAGGAUUGGAGGGUUUUCCAAGUUUAGGAAUCCCUUUGAUGACUUCAUUGUUAACAACCUUCAUUAAGUCAUGAUAGUUUAAAUGGCCUAAUCUACGAUGUCACAAAUCAACCGAUUCAAAAUUUUGAGCUACCACACAUAAGAGAAGAUGAUAAAGAUGAUUUUUUACUAACAACAUAAGAAUUAUUUGAAGUUCUCAAUCCUAUCAUCACACAAUUUCCAUCUAAAUCAAAUACCUUGCACAAAUUUUGUGAAAAUUGAACAUUCAACUUUUUUUGUCACAUAUUUGACUCAUAUUAAUCAAGUUAGCUUUAAAUCCAUCCACAUACAAGAUUUCUUCAAAAUUAGGAAUGUUGGGGGCACAUACAAUCUUUUUUUUUUUUUUUUCACAUGCUACAUUAUCAUCACCAAAUAUCACAUUUCCUUCAUCAAGUUCAAUGAAAUUAGUGAAGAACAAUUUAUUACAUGUCAUAUGGCAUGAGCAACCACUAUCAAAGUACCGUAAGUGUGACUCACUAGCUCUAAGUGCGGUAUGGACAACAAGGCAAUUAAGUUCAUUCUUUUUCACCUAUAUUGGACAUUUGUGACUUUGAUUUUCCAUUGGAAGUACUUCCUUGGGAUCCACUAUGAUGAGGGACAUUUAAAUCCCUCUUGGACACUUUCUUGCCACCUUGUAUCAACUUAUUUCUCAAGGUAAAUGAUUGUUCAUUAGGCUGGUCAACUUUUUCUGAAAACUUUCAAAUAUCUUUGCAUAAAUCGAUCAACGAUAUGUAUUAUUUUAGUACAAUGAGUGCAAUGAAAUUUCAGUUUAGAAUGGGUUUUCUUAGGGAGCACUCCUUCACUAGGCUUGAGAAAAGUUGUUUUAUCAUUAUUUGGAAUGGUAGAUUCAUCAACAAAACCUAAGUCUCUUUUAUCAAAAGAUUUAUGCCUUGAAUUGAUUAAUUCACUAAGUCUUUUGGAAUUAGGAUGUGACUUUUCUUUCCUAAAACUUAACUCAUUCUUAAACACUUGAUUUCACUUUUCCACUCAUCACACUUCUUCUUCAUGUCAAAGUGCACAUUUUCAAGAAAAACAAUUUUAUCAAGUAAAAACUUCUUUUCUCCCUUUAAAGCAUUAACCACAUUGGUUAAAUUCUUCUUGGAAGCUUUCCACUUAGUUUGUUCUUGUUGAAGGCUUAAGCAUUCCUCGUACAAAGUUUCAUAUGCAAAGUCAAAACUCCUUUUAUCACCAUUAGAAUCACUUGACUCAAAAGACUUACUUAAAGCCUUUUUCAUGGGUGGUUCCUCACUGACACUUGCCACAAAGGUUGUAAAGUUAGUGCAUUCCUUACUUCCAUUGGAUUCUUUUUCACUUGAUUUACAUGAUUUUGUGUCACUCCAAGUGAUUUGCAUGACUUUCUUUCCUUUUUUUUUUUUUCUUUGAGUCCCAUUCAAUGGAAAAGUCCCCAUUUCCCCCAUAUUUGAAGCACUCAAUCUCAAACUCCUUUUUGACACUUGUCUUUUUUCUUUUUUUUUGUCUUUUCCACUUGAUCUUUUUGUUAGAUUUUUCCAUUUUUUUUAGCAUCUUCCUUGGAUUUACUCUUAUAUUUCUUGAACUUUAUAUAAUUCUUGAAUUUUCUAGCAAAUCUAGUACCUCCUCCUUCCCACAUUUUCUCAUCACCCUUGCCUUCGGAACCUAAGGACUCAUAUCUAAUGGCAUUCAAGGCAAUAUCCUUUGAUUUCUUAGGUGAUCCCAAAGUCAUUUCAAAUGUUUGGAGAGAACCUACAACUUCAUCUAUAUUUAAGGGAUCCACAUUCAUGGACUCUUUAAUGGUAGUGACCUUUGCACUAAAUUUCUCCAUAAGAGAUCUUAAAAUAUUUCUAACCACUUUAGAAUUAGGGAUGUGUUCACUUAGAUUAAAGUUAGAAUUUACAAUGUCCAUCAAUUUUGUAUGAAACUUUCCAAAAUUCCCAUAAUCUUCCAUCCUAAUUGUCUCAAACCUAGAAGUCAACAUUUAAAGUUUGGACACUUCAACAGCAUUAGUUCCUUCAUGAGUCACUUAGAGGAUGUCUCAAGCUUCCUUAGCUGAGGUAUAGGUAGCAAUCCUAUGGAAUUCAUUUGUGCUAAUGACAUUGAAGAUGGAAUACAUGACUCUAGCAUUAUUCUCACUAGUUUCAUUUUCACGUCUAUCUCAUUCUAAUUAGGUUUGAUAACAUUUAUUGGUCUACCUUCUCUAUCCAAACACCUUAGGUGGAGACCAACAAAAUUCAACAGUGUUCCAAAGUCUUUCGCUUUGCAUUUUGAGAAUAUAUUGCAUUCUCACUUUCCAAUGAGAAUAAUUUUUGCCAGUUUAGAAUGGUGGUCUCCCAAUGCAAGCUCUCUUUUGAUAAGAUUCUAUGAUUGAGAUUCAAGGACUAAAAAUGAUUUUGCUUUAAAAACCUACUCUAAUGCCAAUUGAAAGUGAAUCCCAAUGAUGAACUACACCUAGAGGAGGAGGAGGAGGGGUGAAUAUGUGUUGUUGAACAAAUUCAAAAAGGUCCCCUAAUGUAUAUUAUCUUUUCCUUUGAAUCCUGACAAAUUAUAUUCCUCUCUUUCAACCAUUGUUCAACAAAGGAUAAAAAACACAAGCAAGCAUGAAUGUAACAAUACUCUCCUAAUAAUCUAUCAAUGCAAGCCACAUGCAAAUAUUCCAACACUCUCCAACUAAUAUAAGACUAAUUAUCUCCCUCAUACAUUUCCAAUUACUAUUUGAUAUUAUUAACGAUAUGAAUAGAAAAAUUAUUCAAAAUUAUUCAAAAGGUAAUCACACCAAUUUCAACUCAUAUUUCAUCCUUUCAACAAACAUUCUCAAGUAACAGAGGAUAACAAAAAUUGGAAAUAAAUCAUAGACUAGAAUUAGAGCAAGAAAGACAAAGACACUAGAUUUUAUGUGGAAAAUCUCAUAAGAGAUUAAAAAAAACCAUGGGUAUACCAACAAUAAAAAAUUCCAAUAUGAAGAACAACCAAUGUGUACAAGGAUUUACUCAGCUCAAGUCCACUAAUCCUUCACGGAUUACUUGACUAGCACCUUCUCACUUUAGCCGCAUGCCUUUAUCUUCUAGAACAUACUUGGAGUCCUUACCAAGCUUGAUCUCGACCUCUUCUUCAUUACGCAAGUAUGAAGGAUUCAAAAAACCGAGUUAAGAGACACUUAGGAAUUUUGUUCAAAAAAUACUCACCUGUUAUAAAAUUAAUUAAAUACAUUAAAGGAUGAUAUAUUCCUAAUCCUAGUAUAUAGAAAUUUAUUUAUUAAAUUAAUUACAUAGGAUAUUCAUAAGAAAUUAAAAACAUAAUAGCUUUGUUUGGUUCUCAAAAAAUUUGAGAGAAAAUGUAAAUAAAAAGAAAAAAAGAAAAUAGAUUGGUAAAGUAGAAGGAAAAAAAAAAAGUGAAAAAGAAUAAAAAAUAAUUAAAAACAUAAUAGCUUUGUUUGGUUCUCAAAAAAUUUGAGAGAAAAUGUAAAUAAAAAAAAAAGAUAAUAGAUUGGUAAAGUAGAAGGAAAAAAAAAGUAUAGCAGAAUAAAAAAUAAAUUUGAAGUUCAUAAUCAUUUUUAUAUGCUUCUUUAAAUUUAUUUCAUUUAUUUUUCUUUAUCUUUUAAAUAAUUUUAAAAUAUAUAAAUUUCUAACUAAUUUUAAUUAUAUUUUAUUUUCUUUUGUAUUUUCUACCUUAAAACAAAACAUGAGAAACCCAACUUUCUUCCCAUUUUUUUUAUUUCUUUUCUUAAUACUUUUCGAAAAUCAAACAUAACUAAUAGAUUGAGAAUUUGGGAAAAUAAUUUCUAAUUUAUAAAAAUUUUGCUAUAUAACAUGUAAGGAUAUAUGAUAAAUUAAAAACAUGAUAAUUAUAUAGAAAAAUUCUCUCUGAAGGUGGGAAUUUAUAACUCUUUAAAAAAUAUUAAAGGAAAUAUUGAAAAAACAAUUUUAAAAUUCAACUAAAUUCCCUUUCCAAAAAACAAGUUUAAAUUGAUUUUUUUUAACUCCCGUACAUUUGGAAAUAGUUUUAGAAGUGCAAUAUUUUAAUAAAUAUUUUUUUAAACUGCAAUAUUUCUUCGAAAUCCCGGUAGUUGUACUGCAACUAUGCGCCAGGCUUCACGAAGACACCUAACAUUCUGCCCAGAAGUAGAAAAAAGACUUAUGAAAAGGAUUUGAUGUUGAAUUCAAAGCUCAAAUCAUCCAACACAACUGCCUUUUAAAGACCAUGAAGGAAAAAGAAGUAAGGGAGAUUUGUUAAGUACCAGACCACUCAGUUGAAUUUGGUUCAGUCAUUAGCAACAACGGUCCAAUACAUAUUGAUAAGAUUUAUCAUUAAUUUAGACAAGCAAGCAGACUUAAAGUUCGUUUGAUGAUGAUUCUAAAAAGCACUUUAGAUAAUUUUAAUACUUGAAAAUUUUUAUCAUUCAAGUGUUAAAAAAUGCUAGAAACACUUUAUAGAAUCACUCCCAAACGCACUCUUAAUUUUUUUGUAGAGUCCAGGGUGUGUUGACUCAGAUGAUUGGAUGGGGCGGAGUUUGAUAAUGUCGGUGUCCUUGGUAAAUCUUUAAUUGGGAUCCAAGUAGAGAUGAUAUGAUAAAGACCAAGGAUUUCCAACACAGGGAACUUUGCCCAGCUAAGAAAGCGCAAGACCAAGAGCAACUCAAAUGUGGAGAAUAGUAGUUGUUUCUUUUGCACAGAAGCGCAGUAACCAAGUCAAACAUUAUACAGACCCCUCUCCCAUUCUCUCAUUCAUCUAAAAGACAAACCACCAAGGGAGUGUAGGACAAAGGAAAAAAGGACGUUGAAACCCAAGCCUAUAUUCUCUAUACAUCCCUCCCAACCCAAAAUCCAAAAUCUUAUGUACUUCUAGAUUACAAUGGAAUAAAAUAUGAAAUACCACCUACCUCACCCCUGAGACGGGUGCAUUCCACAGAGAAAAACUUGGGAGGCAGGUUCAAACUAUAAAGGAAACAUAAAUUGCAGGUUAAAAUCCUUCCACCACCCUCUAACAAAGAAUUACACAUCCUAACAAAAUCAAUAACUGAAUCCAGCAGUAACUCUCACUGCUAGCUUCCUUUCUUUCGCAUCUUCUGCUCUUCCCAAAAUGCUGAACAUCCCCAUUGAACCCAUAUCUGAUGCAGCUGAUGCAAAGGUGGAAAUUGUCUGAUUUUCCUAAUUGUAAAUUUUUACUGGCUUCUCAAAUGUGUGGCGAUUCUGCAAAACCGAGUGAGUGAAGUUCAUUACCGUGCUGCUGAAGAUUAUUAGUAUAAGAGCUCCCUACCACCAAAUCAUAGUAUUAUACUUUUACUACUACCACUAACAAUUAUUUAGCUGCUAAUGUAAUCAUCAUUUAUAGCAGCUUCAAUGCCAUCAAUGUGAGGCAUGAGAAAGGUAACAGAAUCAUAAUAACAAGCUUAGCAUAGCCUGCUGGUCCAAAAUCAGUGUUGGUUAAAACCAGAUUUUUUUUUUUUUUUUUUUUUGGGGGGGGGGGGCCGCUAACCACCCUGUUUAUAAUUAAUAGCCUUUUACCUGAUUAGCUGCAUAUGACCUUUUGGGAGCAUUGUCGGAGUGCUCCAAACCAAGAUACUGCUCCCAAGCACCAUAGACAUCUCUUCUCUGAAAAGCAAAAAAUAAAAAUUGGGUAAAAGUGGAAUCCAAACAAGUGGCACAUUGAGAGAGAGAGAGAGAGAGAAAGAGAGACCUGGAAUCGACUAGAGACAAUGUCAGAGUCCUGAAGAUACUCAGGGCGACCGAGGGACAAAAAUGCAAACUUCCACUGAACACAACAAAUCAAGGUAUAUUGAAGAAGAAAAGAAACAUAGUCAGUAAAAGGUAUGAUUCUAGAAAUACAGUGCUCAGAGAAGGUGCUUCAGAUUUGUCCUCCAUUUUAUUUAAUUUUAUUAUUUUAAUAAAACAUUUCUCUGUUUUCCUUUGGUGAGGAGAGAUGGUUGAAGUGUUGAGACCAAUGGGUCAGCUAUGGCCAAAUUAUUGGAAAAAGUAUAAUCUAUCUUUGAAAAAAGAUUCCAUGGUAAAAAGCAGGAUUAUGAUGUUGUAACAUAUGAUAACCCAUAGUUUUAGGUGGCAGUAGAACAUAGCUGCAAGGGCAGGAAGGAAAAAAAAAUACCUUUGAGAACUCCUCAUCAGGAACCUGUAAUUUCUUCUGUAUGCGCACUUUAACUUCAGCUAAAGUCUCACCCUCAUGGAUGACCAAGAAAAAGGGUUCUCCAAAAUUCUGAACCUGCUGUUGGAACCAAUUGAUUUUAUAUACAAUUAUAACCGAAUCUCUGUUUACAAGUGUGAAUAAAAUUACAAUCAUCACAGCACAAGUAGGUAUGAAUCAUGAAAAAAAAAAAAGGGCAGUGCCAAAUAAAACUUUCAUCCACGUUAGCUUACCACCUGAUUCUGAGUUGUGUCUUUCAUAAAAUGAUAAACAUGAAUCAACCGAUCAUGAGGACCUAGGUUUUUCUCCUCUUCAGGAAUCUGUAGUAAAGAAACAAGUUAAAAAACUACUUGAAACCCUCCUACUGAUUUGCUAUAACAAUCAGGUCUAAAGAGUCAAAGUGGAUGGUUGAUCUGGUAAAAUACCAACCAGUAACACAAAAUAUUAAAAUACACAAACUACAAAAGAAAGAAAAGAAGGUAUGUUCAAACAAUGGAAACAGGAAAAAUUCACAUCAAUGGAAAUUGUAGAAAAGAAAACUAAACACUGCAUAUUUAAAUGGCAUUAUUAGUUAUUAUCUGAUGGGUUUUCCUAGCUAGAUCUGAUAUAAGGCAGAAAACCUCUUGGUCUACCUCACUGCCCCUAAAGUCUAAGGCAAGCAAUUCUUAAGAUAUUAUCAGACAAACAGAAUAACAAGCAAGCUGGGUAAGGAGGAUCAAUUUAUGUAAUUUCCACAAGUAUCAACAAGAAUUUCAAGUCCAAAGUCAAAAAACAAAACAGUCAAUCAAGUUAAAGUAACACUGACCAGAGCAUUAAUUUGAAACAUAAAACACAACCAAACAGAUAGACAAUAUGGGAACUGAAAAUCUUAUUCACAAACGUGCCCAACCAGAAAAUAACACUUACCUCCUCUGCACGUAAUGUCCAGUAUUGAUCAUUAAUGUUCUCAAUCUUCUCAUUGAGUGGGAAAAUCUGCAGGGAUAGUCACAGAAUUACAAGCAGGAUAAUAAGAAACACAAACAAAGGAUCUCUAAUGAUCUCUACUAUCUUUAAUAGAACUCGGAAUCCUGUGGCUGUCCAAAGCCCAGAAGGUAAGUAUGCAAGAAACAGCAUUUGAUACACUUCUUGGCUUUUCCAAUAAACAACACGAUUUUUUUUAGGCAACAUCAUUGCCAGAGCUGUUUUGGUUUGCUUUAGAACUCUCUAAGUACAGUUAACCGUUAACUACUUAGAUUUUUUGUUGAAGCAACCAAAUAGCUUUCGCAAUGACAUUCCGUCUUCAUUUUUCUUCUUUGGCCUGCCCCUUCUCCAGUUUACAGGAAACCUCAACAAGUACCAGUUAAAAUCAACCCACAAAUUCUGACAGGUGCAUUAUCUGGGGAAUAUUAGAUGACAAAUGAUUCACAUUUCACAAUUGAGGAAUUUUUUAGAUCACUCAGCAGGAUAAAAUAAAGAUGAUUAGGACUGACUGGAUCACAAAAAGUGUGAGGAAAAGGAAGAAGGAAACAACAGGAAAACAAAAACUAAAUUUGAAUUCAAUAUUCUUUUUAUUCUAUCCUUCUCCAACUUUAUUCUCAAUGUAAAUAGAAAAUAAUGAAUUUGAAAAUAUGAGUCUUCAAAUAAUUCUUAUUAUAUGUCACAUUCCUUCAUUUUUUUCAUAGAUAAAGAAGUAUAUAUAUUAAAAAGAGGCGCAAAAAGAGCAACCCAAAGUAUAGAGGACAUAUACCCCAACAGUCAAAAGGCACAACCAAGAAAAAGAGCUACAAAACAGGAAGUGCUACAACACCGCCACCCACCCUCAACGAGUGCCCAACCAAACCAAGAAGCUAACUGAAGUUGAAGGACCAUCUUCUAUAAACAUCUUAGUCCAAGACCCCAAAAUACAAAUAAAAGAUCCAAAUCCUUCCUUAGAGCUUUCCAUAACCCAACACCAAACCUAUUCCUCACUUCACAAGAACACCACCCCCCUUCUUUCCCAUAAUUCCUAAUAUUGUCCAUGAAAGCGAAUUCCAUUUGCAAAGGAGAGCCUUAUUGAGUGUUGAGAGAAACUUCACACCCAAGCUCCCCUUCCUCUUAUUUAAACAAACAAUCUCUCACUUUACUAAGCGUGGCUUCUGAACAAGAGUCCUGCCCCCCCAAAGAAAAUCCCUCUGAAUUUGCUCUAACAUCAAUCUGACUAACCUUAGCAUGCAAAACAAAGACAUAAAGUAUAUAGAAAAACUAGACAGAAUGCUUUGAAUUAGGGUAAUUCUCCCUCACACAACAAAAAAUGAGAACUAAGGCCUAUUUCAUAAUUGUUUUUUAAAAUAAUUAUGAAAAACAUUUUUUGAGAAUAAUUUCUAAAAAUUGUGUAGAAUAAAUGCAAGUUUCACAACUUGAAAUGUUUUUAACCCGUUUUCUAUGUUUUUAAAUAUAUUUUAGAAAUAGCUCAUAUAUGUAGAACUUUGUUUUUAAUCAUUUUGUGUAAUAAUUUUUUAAAACAACCCUUAGAAGACAAGUAAAAACAAUUAAAAGAUGUUAUUUGAAAAUAUUCUAUUUUCUGUUUUUAAUAAUAGAAAACUAUUUUUUGUUUUCUAGUUUUCAAAUGUAUUUUCUUGUUUUUUUUAUGUUCUAGAGAACAAAAAAUUGUUUUCAAAAACAGUUACCAAAUAGACCCUAAAAUUCCUUCCAUUUUUUUAGCAUUUUCACAGAUCCGAAGAGAUAUUGAGGAAUUCAAGAAUCAUUGUUGGAAUUAAUUUGAUAAUUACAAUGAAUUCACUGUACAAUCCUACUCAUAAUUAUAUUUAGAAUAAAACAACUAUUACUCUAAGCUUGUGAUCCAAAUUCCAAAAGAUAUUCGAUAAACCGGGAAAUCAACUUUACAAUCUCUAUUUGAAGCUUAGAACUCUUACAGGCUCCAUGUUUUUUGAAUGAUCAAAUUCAGUAAAGGGAGCUCUGCAUAAGUUUC
rnacentral:lncRNA from 1 species